rnacentral:lncRNA from 1 species
CAUUUAGGAUGUGUCUACGAAAGAAUGGUCUCAUGAAUCUAACUUCAUUAGAUCGCAUUCUCCCAAUCACAUACUCCUUGGACUUUAUCGUUUAAGCAUAUAACAUUUAUAUGAGACGGCUCAAACAAUAAUCUUUGCCCUUUAUAUUAAACUAGAUUAGUUUAACAUGUGAAAUGUCCGUAAAGUAUCAUCAUAUGAUUGGUUUUAGGGCACAUUUCCAACACUUUGGAAAGACAUGAAGGUUGCCAUGCAGCCAAAAAGCUUUGGGUAUGUCAACAAUUUCCUGGUAGGGCAUCUAUUCACUUUUGAUGAGCUCGGCGAGCCACUAGCUAAGAAUGAAUCAGAUCGCGAUCGGAUGUUGAACCUAUUUUCUUAUGUGAGUGUUACUUUGUCAUUGUUGGAAAUGUGCCCUAAAACCAAUCAUGUGAUGAUACUUUACGGACAUUUCACAUGUUAAACUAAUCUAGUUUAAUAUAAAGGGCAAAGAUUAUUGUUUGAGCCGUCUCAUAUAAAUGUUAUAUGCUUAAACGAUAAAGUCCAAGGAAUAUGUGAUUGGGAGAAUGCAAUCUAAUGAAGUUAGAUUCAUGAGACCAUUCUUUCGUUGACACAUCCUAAAUGUUCCUGAUCAUAGGAUUGCCAAUUGGGCAUUGACAGUCUGUCAAGAUCGGUACGUGCUAUGUCUUCUCUCAGGGAGAGUGACUAGUCUCGAGUCAUUGGUGUGUGUGACAUCAAGACAAGUACGUAGGUGCACAGUAGAGAAUGAGUUCACUGAACGCGAUCAACGAAGAGUUCUCAUACUCAUGUCACAUGAGAACUCAUGGUUGGGAUAAUGCAAAGUAAUCCUUUGACCUGAGUCAUCACUAAAGGGAGAAUUGAAAGUAAGUUUCAAUUCACAAUCGAUAUAAAAUGGUUUUAAUCGCCCACUGCCUCGCUAAAAGGAACCUAAUGGAUCGCACACCGUGUAAGGUGGAGAUUGAAGAAACAAUGGAGAUGAGUAAGAAUGAUUAAAUGGUUUAAUCAUUUAUUUAUGGCAAGGAUUAAUUAAUAUGUUAAUUAAUCAAACGAAUAAGUUCGUUAAAGACCUCGGGAUAGUUUUGGACCUUAAGGCCCAAUGGGCUUCGAACGUCAAGCCCAUUAACUUAAGUUGUAUGACAACUUAAUGAAUAAUGAUUCACAAAGGCCCAAUUAGUCCAAAAUAUCCUAAUGGCCGGCCAUAUUGUUUAGGGUAGUGAACUUGGACUUAUUUACAAGUUUGCCACUCAAAUGAAUAAAGGUAUAAAUAUGACUUUAUAGCCAAAAUUCAUUUAGGGUUUGUUUUGGAGAAAAUUGGAGAGAACAUGUCUCUCCAUUUCUCUCUAAAGAGGCCGGCCACCUUGGGGGUGCAUCUUGCAAUCCCACUACUCCAAGGUCACUCAUUUCUUCUCCAAUCUCUCCUUGGUGAAGAGACUUAGAGGUUCCCUAUUUUGGGAACUUGGAGAAACCUAUUCAUCCAUCCAAAUCCAUAGAUUUAUUAUGCAAGGAAUGAAGGCCCUCUCUUUGGGUGAUUAGCCUUUGCUUAUGCAAAGAGGAAUCUACAAAGGUACAAUUUCAACUCACUUUGUUUUGAGUUGAGUUUUGGUUCACCAAUCUACUAGGCUUUGAAUUUCUUGGUUAAUGUUUUGUUUUUAAGUGCAUGCUAGCAUGAUUCCGCCUUUAAUUGUGAAUUGCAUGCUUAUUGAUGUUGCUUAAAUGAACAUGUUUUCCCUAAAAUAUUCCUUCAGUCAUUUCCUUACUUUCUCAUCUUUGUUAUUUUUAGGUAAUGGUGAUCGUCUUGUCAUACAGGUCAUGACUGAGUACGACGACAGAUUGCGAGAGGCUGAGCGGUAUAAGGCGAAAUUGAAAGAGAAUAAGUAGCUUAUGGAUGAUGUAAAAAAGAAUAAGAAACUUUUGACUGAGGCCAUCUAGCUUAAGGACCAAACCAUGGAGAGGUUGACGAGACGGAAUGGUGAGAAUGUAAGGCUUAAGAAACCGUUUGAGGCGACUAAAAAACAGUUGGAGGUGGCUACCCUCGAGGCAUCCAAGGUCAGGAAGGAGUUGGAUGGUGCCUUGAUCGAGGUUUCUGAGUUGAAAAGAAGUAUCCCAACUGAGAAGGAGGCUGCCGUGCAGGAGUACUUAGGUUCUCAGGCUUUUCACCAUGCUAUUAGACCUCACAGCACCCGGGAGGUUCACUUUGAAAAAAGAAAAUGGAUGGCCGUCCUUGAGCAUUAUGACGAUGGAAGUAUUAUUCGAAAGUACUGUGAGGAGAUAGAUGAGUAUCAUUAAAAGGGUGAAACUUUCGUCCUCGCAGUUGAUCCUAGAAAUGAAGAGGAGUCUGUGAAGGAAAUUUUAUGAAAAACAUGUUCAUUUGAGCAACAUCUAUGGCAUGCAAUUAACAUUUAAAGGCGGAAUCAUGCUUGUGUGCACUAAAAAACAAAACAUUACCCAUGAAAUUCAAAGCCUAGUAGAAGGGUGAAUCAAGACUCAACUCAAGAACAAAGUGAGUUAAGAAAUCUUAUACCUUUGUUGAUUCCUCUUUGCAUAAGCAAAGGCUAAUCACCCAAGGAGAGGGCCUUCAUUCCUUGCUUCUUAGAUCCAUGGAUUUCUUGGAUGAGGAUGGCUGAAAGGAUUCUCCAAGUUCCCAAAGUUGAGAACCUCUAAUUUUCCACACCAAGGAGGGACUUGAAGAAAAGAUGAGUGACAUUGGAGGAGGAAAGAUUGCUAGCUAAUCUCCUCCAAGGGGCCGGCCUCCUAGAGAGAAAGGGAGAAACAUGUUCUCUCCAAUUUUCUCCAAAAGAAACCCUAAAAGAAUUUUGGCUAUAAAGUUCUUUAUAUAGUCCUUUCAAUUAAGUGACCUAGAGAACCAAAGGCCUUUCUUUCAACAUAUGGCCAGCCAUAUUAUGGCUUUUGGGCUGUUUGGGCCCUCUUGAAUCUUUAUUCAUUAAGUUCAACUUAAGUUAAUGGGCUUGACAUUCGAAGCCCAUUGGGCUUUAACGCCCAAAACUAACCCGAGGUCUAAAACGAACUUAUUCGUUUGAUUAAUCAUCAUAUUAAUUAAUCCUUGCCAUAAAUGAUUAAACUAUUUAAUUAUCCUUACUCAUCUCCGUUGUUUCUUCAAUCUCUACCUUACAUGGUGUACGAUCCAUUAGGUUCUUUUUAACGAGGCAGUGAGCGAUUAGAACUCUUUCAAAUCGAUUGUGAAUUGAAACUUACUUUCAAUUCUUCCUUUAGUGAUUAUACACGUUUAGGGCUUCCACAAACCAUGAGUGACACCUAGCAGUAUGUCAUGGUUACCCAAGCUAAUCAGAAGAGGUGGAGAACCUAUUCAGUUUAGGAUUACAAUGCAAUACAGUCUUUCUCUAAUACAAUACUCUUGACCACAUUGUUUAGUUUGAUAGUUUAUUCAUGUCUACUAUCCAAUGUGAUUCUCUUACUUAUAUGAUUACCUUGAAUGUGAUUUGGAAUGAUUUCCUAAAUCUCAUUCAUACUCUGGCUAGAGAUUUUUAAUCAUAUCAUAAAGUAUUCUCCCUCAAACAGUUUGAAGGUUAGAGAUCCCUUGUUGCACAUUCACUUGCCUCUAUGGCUAAGUGGCUUAACCGCAACUAUGCCGUGGACACCCUCUGACGGAGUGGCUUUGACAUAGUUAAAGAUCAAGGACCUAACCACAAGACAACUAUGAUGCCUCAGGUUAAAGGACUACUUUGCAUUGUCCCAACCAUGAGUUCUCAUGUGACAUAAGUAUAAGAACUUCUUGUUGAUCGUGUUCAGUGGACUCAUUCUCUAUUGAGCACCUACAUGCUUGUCUUGGUGUCAGUCACACCAAUGACUCAAGACCAGUCACUCUCCCUUGGAUUCCCUUAUUGCAUAAACACAUGAUACAAUAAAUAGUGUCUGUCAAUAAGCUUUGCCCUUCAUUAAACAUAUAAAAGUUUAAUACAUUAAGUAUUCCAAAAAGCUAUUACAUCAAAUGAGUGGCUUUGUGGGCAUACUUCCAACACAUUAAGCUUCAUGAAAACUAUAAGCAUUGAUGAGGCAAUUGUUACUAUGAAAAGCAUGAAACAUUUGCCAAGAAUUCACUUAACACGAUCGUUUAUAAGCGACCUCCACUACUUGCAAAUAUAAGGUUGUAACUAUUAGGUGAAACUUCCUUAUAUUUUAGCUUCAAAUUUCUGCAUGAAAACUAAGUUGGCCACCUUAAUCAACACACAAAAAUAAGUCAUCAAUCAAACGGUUAAGCAAAUUGCAUUCACAAUUCAUGAAAUAACAAUUAGACGUAAUCAAUUCAUCUUGCAAGCAUAAUCAUGGUAUUGAAUAACCCCCUAGCCAAAAAGGCUUAGUUCCUCAUGUUCACAAAACAAAGGAAAACAAAUUUAUACAUUGUAAAUAUAAGAAAGAGAACACCUAAAUAUUCCAACGAUUCAAUGUUGAACGGCUAGAACCUUCAAGUACUUCUUCUUCCUCUCCUUUGCUGCGGCACAAGGGUUGGGGGUGAGUUUUGGGAGUUAUGGAUGAUGUAGAAUGAUGGGUUUAUGGUUAGGAUAGGUGUAUGGGACAACAAGGUAUGUUUAUGGGCAGAAACUAGGGUGAAUGGUGGUAGAAUGGUGCGGCUGAGAGUCUCCUAGUGUUUUUGGCAUGAAUGGUCAGUAUAUGGAUGUUUUGUGGCUGCAAAAGAGAGUUUAUUUAAAGGAUUUUAGGAAUUAAAACCCUAGGUUAUUUAGGUAAUCAGAAAUUAAGUCUAAGGCUUCUAGAAAUAGGAAACACAAUCAGAAAAUUAAAGGAAAAGGCAAGGUAUAUGCGGCAAGGGUUUAAAAUAGAUUAGGAAAGUGUUUGAAUGCAUGGAGUUAGGAAACAACCCUCUCCCUUGCACGGCAAGGAAGAGGAAUGGGCAAGGUGUGUGCGGCAAAAGGUGAUAUUAUGCAAGGAAUGUGUGUUUGAUGUCCUAGAGUGCUUAGGAAGCCUUCAAAGUUGAUAACACUUAGGGACACUUAGGAAAGGUCAAACCAAAGUAGGAAACCUUGGCUUAACUUUCCUACUUCAAGUAGGAAUCCUUGUUGGAGUAGGAAUCCUUGUUUUUCUAGGAAUCCUCAUGUGAGUAGGAAUCCUUCGUUGAUUAGGAAACCUAACUUCUUCAAAUCUUCAAUUACAUCCAUUCCUUUUGCUCCAAUCAUGUGAUAAUCAUUCCAAGCUCGAUUUUGCUCCAAAAAGCUCCAAAAUGCAUCUUCUUGCAUCCUUUGGCCUUAGAAUCUGAAACACACAAAAGUGACUUUAAACACUAAAAUAACUAAGGAAACACAACGUAAAUGCACGAGAACAAGCCAAUUAAGUCGCAUAAAUAUGCUCCUAUCAAUAAUUAGAAAGGAGAUGCUACUGGUAGGCUAAGUCGCAUAAAUAUGCUCCUAUCAAUAAUUAGAAAGGAGAUGCUGCUGGUAGGCUGCAAUGCGGGUGAUGGUUUGCCUGCGCUUCUCAUCUGCCAGAUCUAAGCUUAUGGCCAUCUCCUUACUGUUCGGUUGCUCAUCUUUUGGUGGUGCGAUAUGCCCAUAGACAUUCGGGGAGUUCAUCUGGUCAUUUUCCCUUGUUGUUGGUAAGAGAUUUCUUGAGGAAGUUCAAGACCAUCUUAUUCGAUCCUUUAGCCCAUCUAUUGUCUUGAAGAUAUCUUGGGAUGAACAUGUGCUGCUUGACGCCAUAUUUUUGGAAGAGCUUGCUAAAUCUUUGCCCACAAAUUACGGGCCGUUGUCGAUGAUGAUGGAUUGAAGGAUGUCAAAUCGACAAAUGAUGUUCCUCCAUAUGGAGCGCUCUAUGUCCGUCUAUGUCGUGGCCGUCAUGGGCUCUGCUUCUACCCAUUUGGUGAACUAAUCGGUUGCCACGAUUAUCAUGCAUCUACCCUUAGUAGCAGACGACAUAGGUUCUACCAAGUCGAUUGCCUACUGCAUGAACGACCACAAACUCGUCUGUAGGUGUAGUUUGCUGGCAGACAAUGCUAGUACCGGCUUGUAGCGUUGGCAGCGGUUGUACUUUUGUACUAACUCCUUUAGCAUCUUAGUGCAUGGUAGGCUAAUAGUAGCCCACGUAAAAAGCCUUUUGUGCUAAGGAUCGGCCUCCGGAGUGAUUUCCUUAAACACCUUCGUGGAUUGAGCUUAGAACCUUCAAGUUAUCGGGAGGCACUAGGCAAUGGAGAUGUGGUCCAGUGUAGGAUCUUCGGAUGAGAAUGUCGCUCCAUAAGUAGUAGCAUGCUGCCUUGAUUUAGAGUUUCCUAGACUUCAACCUUUCUAGGGGAAGUGUGUCGUUGAUGAGGUAGUCUAUAAUAGAACUUCAGCUGCUGGCUCCACCUCUAUACUUAGCUUGUCUAGAUAUUCCAUAGGGAUAGAACGUUUGAGUUGGUGGUCGAGGGCAGACCUAGGCUGGCUAGUGCGCUCGCGUGGGUGUUGUCUGUCGCAGAACUUGAGUAAAGGUGUAAAUCUGAAAUGCCUCAAGUUUCUUGUGUACCUUCUAUAGGUAUUGUGCCAUCCUUGGAUGUUUUAUCAUGUAUUCCCUAGUCUAGCUAGUAAUUAGCUGGGAAUUGGAAUGAAUUGCAAGCUUCUUCACUGCCAAGUCUUUAGCCAUUCAGAUGCCUGCUAGUAGGGCCGUAUACUCUGUUUUAUUGUUGGAUGAUUUGAAGCAUAGAGUGAUCGCUUGCUCGAGCAUUGAGCCGUCUAGGGUGACAUGGACCACGCCUACUUUUCAGCUUUUAUAGUUAGAUGCACCGUCAACAUACAAAUGCUAAAAGUCUCCAUCAGGUGGAGCAUGUGCGGCUAGAGCGUGCUAGGCUAUCUCCAGGGCGUCGUUGGGCCACUUUGUUGCUUCGCUUAUUCUAGACGUGAAGGCGAGGUAGGGAGCCAUAGAGUUGGGGCUGUGUUAAACGUAGCAAGGGACUCUCAACUACCAAUUUCAAGCCGCUCUAUGGUUGAAUUAUAGAGCAAGGGUCGGCCGGGGCCGUGAGACGUGCAGCCAAAGGUGGUGCUCAACCGCCGAUACAUGUUGCUCAUAUGUAAAAUCUUUUAGGGUGACAAGGACAAAACUUGCUUUUGAGUGUGUCGUUCCAAGGUUCGUCUACCCUUGGUGUGUCUUUUGGGCUGAGUUGUUGCAUUCGUCAGAAAACUUUGUAUCUGCCAGGGUCUACACCUUUAUUGUCAUGUGUCUUGAUUGGGCAGAAUAGUGCAUUAUGAGGAUGAUUGUGUGCAUUUGAAAGCAAAACUUGAGCUUUCGGGUUGCAACAACUAUCGCCAAAGUUAGCUUUUGAAUUUCUGAUAGCAUCGAAGAGAGUUUUUAAACUGUGGAAUACAGGUAGUUGGGCCCCCAGCUAUUCUCAUAUGAUGGUAGAGCUUAUUGCUACUUUAAAUAUUACCAGGUAGAUGUAUAAUCCCAUUUGUGAGAUACUUCUUCAAGUCUUGGAAGGCUUUUUCACAUUCUUCACCCCAUUUGUCUCGUUGUGCCCUCUUGAUAGCUUAGAAAGAAAAACUUGCAUCGAUCGGUGGAUCGCAAAAGGAGACGGUUAAGGGUAGCUGCUCGUCCAGUCAAGCUUUGGAUCUCCUUCAAAGUAGUUGGAGACUUCAUCUCCAAGAUCGCUCAGAUCUGCUUGGGAUGCGCUUCAAUUCCUCGUUGGGUUACUAAGUACCCUAGAAAUUGGCCCGAAGAUACUCCAAAUGUGCAUUUGGUAGGGUUGAGCUUCAUCUUGUACUUUCUAAAGAUGUCGAAAGUUUUCGCCAAGUUGCGAAUAUGCUUUGAUUGCUGCUUGCCCUUUACCAUAAUAUUGUCAACAUAGGCCUCUAAGGUUACCCUAAUUUGUUUCUUGAACAUCAUACUUACUAACCUUUGAUAAAUGGCUCCUAUGUUUUUAGGGCCAAAGGGCAUGACCUUGUAGCAGUAGGUGCCCCGCUCGAUCACGAACGCAGUUUUCUCCUUGUUGGGCUCAUACAUGGCUAUUUGGUUGUAACCGAAAUAUGCGUCUAAGAAGCUAAGCAGCUGGUUCCCAAAAGUUGAAUCUACUAAUAGAUCGAUCUAAGGACAGGAUAAGGAUCUUUUGGGCAUGCUUUGUUGAGGUUGGUGUAGUCUACGCAAACCCUUAAUUUUCUCUUCUCUUUCUUCAUGACUAGUAUGACAUUGGCAAGCCAUGCUGAGUGUGCUACCUCUUCUAUGAAUCCGGCCUCUAAUAGCUUGUCAAUUUCCACCUCAAUGAUCGCUACUCGUUCGAGUGUGAAAUGUCUGCUCAUUUGGAUCACCGGUUUGGCAGUGGGGUCAACGUGCAGCUUGUGGCAGGCCACCUUGGGGUCAAUGUCAGGCAUGUCGGAUGGUGACCAUGUGAAGACAUCUAGGUUUCCUCUAAUGAAAGUCGUGAGUUCUUCUUUCUUGGUUGGGCUUAGUCGUGAGCCAAUUCUAGCCAUCUUUUCCGGCCGAUGAGGAUCAAGAAUGAUGUCUUCGGCGUCCUCUUCGGGUUUCCAUCUUAUCUCGUCUGCUUGGGUGCCAUCUUCUCGAUCCACUUGUUGUAAUUGCUAUUUGGUAGCUUCUUUGUCCUUUUGGACUUCGGUAGCCUUUAUAGGGGUAAAGGUCUUAUUCUUUGAUUCUUUCAACAUUUGCACAGUGCAUUAUCGAGAUGAGGCCUAGUCAGACUUGAUCUCUCCGACUCCUCUUCUCAGGAUGCGGAAUCAGAUUUUUUGACACUUGACGGAAGUGAUAGCAUCCAGGUUGAUCAACCAAGGUCUCAUAAGAAUCCUAUUGUAGGGAGAUGGAUCGGUUUUGAUCAUGAACGUUUGGUUUGAGACGACUGGAAAUGUUUUCACGUCAAGUGUGAUAUGGCCGAUGGCAGUUGAGGUGUGUCCGUUAGUCUGAUAAGUACCUCUGCUCGAUGUAUGAUUGUGCUUUCUAGGCCCAUCUUCUAAAUGACUGGGAGCUGAAGUAGGUUGACUACACUUCCAUUGUCAACCAUCAUCCUGUCAACUAUAGCAUGGGCUAGUUAGACAGAUACUACUAGCGCAUCGUCGUGUGGGAAAUCGACGACUUCUGCAUCUAACUUAGUGAAGCUAAUAAUGGGUCCAAGUUGGGUAUCGACUGUUGGGACUUGUGAGAUUAGUAAAGCCUACUGGAUCUUCCUUUUUGAAGUUAUUAGUGGCCCCCAAGUGCUCAGAUUUGGGGAAAAUGCCACUGAUUCGAAUCAUCUUGGUUGGCAGCUCCUCAUCAUUAUCUGUAUUCCUUUUUGGCUGCGCAUCUGGCUUGUCCAAGUAUUUAUCAACUUUGCCUUCACGAGCUUAUCUAGGAAGUUCUUCCAAGUGUAGCAGUCGUCAGUUGUGAGACCAGGACCUUGGUGGAAUGCGCAAUACUUGGUAUGGUCCAACUUGGAAGUAUCUUCUUUUGAUUGUUUUGGCAGCUUGAACCAUGGCUCGUUCUUGAUAUCACAAAGGAUUUGAUGAAUCAGAAUUGAGAACUUAGAAUAGUUUUUUGUUAUCGAGCCUUGUUUAGUUGUGUGUCGGUCCUUGCGCUUGGCCUCUUGCCUGCUCUUGCUGGGCUGCUUCCCGUCUUCCUUCCUUUGGGUCACCGCUGACUAUUUUCGAGGCUGCUCAGGCGCCUUUUCUGCUCAUUGAGCCUUGUCCCAAAGUGCAUGCUUCUCUACCAGGGCAAAGGAAUCUGCUAGAGUUGAAGGGAAAAUUAUGAGUUUAACACAUGGGAUUUCGAAAUGACUAGCAUGCAUAUACAAUUCAAAAUUUAUAUACAUGAGCAACGGAAGCAAUUUAUCAAAUAAUAUCAAAGAAAUAGUCAUGCAAAUCCCCUUCAAGGUUCAUAGGUUUAUAUAUAAUGCAUCUAAAACAUUCAAGUAAAGAACUAAGUGAAAGUAUAGAUCUAUACCUCCUGAUCUUGAUUUUAGACCAAGGAUGGACCACCUCCAAGUCCUUUGCUCCUUAAAGUCCUUGAGCCUAGCCUCCCUCCUUGCCUCCUCCACUUUGUUAGUAAGAGUGCUCCAAGGUUCUCCUUUAGUCUCCAAAGGAGAAGACCUCUAAAUAUCCACACCCACUAGUGUAGUGAGAUGGAUGGAGGAAUAGCCAAAAGGGUGAAAGAUUGUUAGUAAAAUCACCCCCAAGGUGGCCGGCCCUUGUAGUGUUUUAGAGAGAUAUUUCUUUUGCCUCUUUGUUGUUUUAAACACACAAAAACCCUAAGGAAUAAAUCUCUAUAAAGUUCCUUAUAUAGACAAAAAGAAACCUAGUCAACAACUUGACUAAAUAUCUCUCCCUUUCCACUUAAAGUGGCCGACCUCUUUGUGUUGGAUUUGGGCUUUGGGCUUUUAUAUAUUUCAAGUCAUCCAAUGCUUGAAUAAAAGCCUAAUGGGUUUAGGCCCAAUGGGCCCAAUUAAACCCGAACGUUUCUAUAAGCCCAAAACGAUCUUUUAUCGCUUUUAUAAUUUCUUUAGACUUUCUAAAUUAAUCACAACACUUAAUUAAUCCAAUUAAUUAUUUCCUUCAUCCAGUAAUUACUCACUACAAUAGUGUAUCGGUGUACAAUCAUUUUAGGUUCUAAUUAGCAAGGCAGUGAGGUGAUUGGCAUCAAUCCAAUUGAUUAUAUUUAAUUCAAUCACUUAGUGAAUUAAAACUUCCUUUUAAUUCACCUUCUUCUUUGAUGACUACAUUUAAUCAUCUAGAAGAACUCACAAGCUAUGAGUGACAUCUAACCAUAUGUCAUAGCUACCCAAGCUAAUGUAGAAGUUGUUCGGAGAACCUAUUCAGUUGGAAUUACAAUGUAAUUCGAUCCUUCUCUAAAACAAUACUCUCAACCACAUUACUAGGGUAUGGAUAUAUUAUGUCAAACCCCUAAUGUGAUUAUUCCUUCUUAUAUGAUUCAAUUGAGUCGUAUAGGAACGCUUUCCUUUAUUACGCUCGAUACUUCGGCCGAAUCAUAUCUUAGAGUAUUCUUCCUCUCUUAUCGAAGAUUAGAGAUCCCUUGUUGCGCAUUCACUUGCCUUCAUGACUAAGUGGCUUAACCCCAAUUAUGCCGUGGACACCCGCGAAUGGGAUGACUUUGACAUAAUCAAAGAUUAAGUACUUAGCCACAAGACAACGAUGAUGCCUCAGGUCAAAGGACUACUUACAUUAUUCCAACCAUUAAAGUUACUUGCUUGACAUGUGAGUAGACCUCCAUGCAAGUACUCUCGUUCGAUUGUGUUCAGUGAACUCAUUCCCUUAAUGAGCACCUACAUACUUGUCUUAGUGUCACAACACGAAUGGGAUGAGACUUUCCAUCCUUCCAUUUGAAGCAGACAUAGUAUGUACCGGUCUAAGCAUUGUCAGUAUCCCUCCGACAAUCCAAUGACUAGGAACCUUUUGGACAUAAUGGUUAUGUGAAGAAGGUCUCUGUAGUCUAACAUCAUUAGAUUACUUCUUCAAUCGAUCCAUUGUCCAUGGAUUCACUAUUUAGGACAUAUAUCGUUUAUUGAGAUAGUCUUAAUUAGUAUCUUUGCCAUUUGAUGUAUAAGAGUCAUCUAUACAUCGAUUCAUUUAUCCUGAAAGGUUUCUUCCAAAGAUUGACUUUCAGGGCAUAUUUCCAACAAUCUCCCACUUGCACUAAAGUGAAUCACUAGUGUAUCUUAUACAUGCUAGUUGAGAGAGCUUAUGCUCGUAGGUUAACUCGGUUAUGUAUUAAUCCCUUUUAUUAUUUAAAAGGGAUUUACUUAUCAAAUGUUUCCAAAACAUUUGAUGAUGUCUCUUUCUUGUGUUCGAAUACUUUGAUGAGACCUUGAUUCCAUGGCUUGAGCUAUCGCCCCAUUACGUCGUAGUAUCCUACUAACGACCUUAUGGUUUGGAUUCAAUCAUUGGUUCUAUAAGAACCCCUUCAUUCAAAACACCUUUUGAAGCAGUUUCUAAAACAAUAUAUCGUCAUAUAUUUCGUUUGUAUACUUUAUACAAACUUUGCUCCAACCUUGAGACCAUUGUAGUACAAUACUAACAAUACAUUCAUAUGAUUAGUACUUCAUCCAUUAUGAAGUUCCAUUUGUUAAAAUGGCUUAUUUUUUUACUUUGGUUAACAACCUAAGUGAAUGCACGCUUCCAGAGUCCCACUCUGAUGUUUCUUUCUCUAAAGGCAAUAAUACUCUUUCAGUUGCUUUGGUUCUGAUCCUGGGAUUUAGUAAUAUCUUAUAGUGACAACCCCUGUGGUUCUUCACUUUUGGAUAUCUACUUCACAAGUCCAUACAUGUGUCCCUUUUGUGAUUUUAUGACACAUUCAUUAUAAGGGUAUGAAAGUGAUUUCCUAUUACGUAGGAAAAUGCUUCCUUAAAUCUACAACAUUUGAGAUUUAAUUCCCAUAUAACAUUAUUGAGAUAGCCUUGCUAUAUCAAUAAGUCCAAUUUCAAGUCUAUACUUCAAAAUUGACCGUGUCAUGUUUUGUCAUUUUUGAGUAACAUCUAUGUUUUAUCAAGUCUAUCAAAUAGACUUUAUUCACAUCUUGUUGCUCAAAUUAUGAUAUCACUCCCACUGGCCUUGUUUGUAACUUAGCAUUCAUUCAAAAAUUAACAAUUAUAUUUUCUUGAUUUGAAUGCAUAUUGCUCCCUUUAACUUGUCUUGGAUCUAUUGACAAUCAUUAAGAUCCAUUAGCUUAUUGAUGAUGUCUCAACUAUUUUGAGACUAUCAACAACUCUAGUUAACACAGUUAUUUAAACGAAUCAUACACAAAAGAAUUCCUUCUCAAGUAAUUCCAUGAAAUGUGUGACUUGCUUUAUCAAGUCUAUUCAUUUAAAUUAUAUGGUGUCAUACACCAUACUUUAAGUUUGAGUCAUACUAAGACCUUUAAUGUAGUCAUAUAAGAAUUAUCCAAGUCUUUAGUGGAAGCAUGGCUCCUACUAAGGAUAUAGAAACUCAACCAUUCCUUCUAGGUGGUUGAUAUAAUUCUUUAUUAAAACUACAUAGAGCAAUAUUGUUACAUGAGAUGUUGAAUUUGGAUUGUCUUGUUGUUAAAUCAUAUGUUGUGACUCAUUUUGAACUUAUUUCCCUUUUUGUUUCAUCAACUUGUCCAUAUGCUUAGUUACUUAGCUUGUUCUCAUAAAAGAGAAUGAUGGACAACUCCCAACAUAUAACUAUUUUAUGCUAGGUUGACGAAACCAACAUUUAAAGACUAUUCUUUAGAAUGUCACACAACAUAGAAUUUUAACGUUUGAAGAGCUUGAGUUCUUUAACAAUUAAAAUUACAAACUCUUAAUAAUAGUCAAGUACUAUUAUACUUUAGACAACUAUAAACCAAUCACAAUCAAGUUUAUAUCCAUUUUCACACCUCCCACUAUUUCUCAUGACUUUAAUGAGAAAUCAUUUCAUACAUUCAAAAUGUAUAAAAGUGGAGUACAUUGGUAGAAGACAUUGUGUAGUAGCUUUAAAACAUUUCAAGCUUAUUUGUUUCAAUCUUCACUAAGUUAAUGUCUUGUUAUUAAGUGACUAAAGUCUUUAAACAUUUUAUAGAUUUAGACACUUCUUUCUUGGUUUAAUCACUAACACAAUUGACAUUUUAAAACCUUUUAAAGAAUGCCCAAUUAUUUGUUCAAAACUACUAAUUGAAUCAAGAGUGAUCUUGAUCAUUGUGUUUCAAGUUAUGACCAUAUAAGAAACGUUUUUCUUAUUACUCACAUCAUUAUAAUGUGAUCUUCCUUUUCUUCAAGAAAGGAUACUCUAGACUUUUGUCAAUUCAUAUAGAACUCAUAGGUAGACAAAUGGAACCAAAUCUAAAGAUUCAUUGUAUCCUUUUAUGUCCUACAUGUGAGAUCUAUCCAUAAUUGAUAAAUCUAAAGUUUGGUUAUCACAUUACAAUAAGUGAUAUAACUCUUGUAUCUCAUCUAGGAUACAACAAGACAAUUUUCAAUUCAUAACACUACUUUAAGGAAAUAGUAUAUUAAAAGGCAUUCUUCACAUUACAUUAAUAUGAUAAUUCAAACAUUCAUAAUGUUUAAUACAAAAAGUAUUAGCUCUAUACAUUUAGAGACUAAUUUAAAUACCUUUAUACAUUUAGGCACUAAUAGUGAUCUUCCAUCAUAUGAAGCCACAUAAUAAGUUCUUAACAAAAUAAGAAAGUUUAAAGACUAUCUUUAAUGCCUAACAAACUUCCUAAGUAGUAAGCAAAAAAACAUAGUGGCCGAACCCUUCACCACAUUUUCCUCGCUUGUUCAUCUUCUACUUGGCUUCUCCACCUAUAUACAAUUAUACAAGUGAUUAGCUCUUUAUAUCAAAUAUAAAUAUUUAGAAGAUCUAACAUUUAGAAUUGAAGAUAAGAACAUAAACCAUACCUUGUGGCUUGUCCUUAAGACUUGCAAGGUAUAACCUGCAAUUUCUCCUCCAAUGCCCCUCCUUUCCACAGUGGUGGCAAGUCCCUUUGGGCUCCUUUGCCUUCUUUUUCCUCACUCCUCCUUUCGGCUUAGGAGUGGGUGGCUUCUUCUCCUUCCCUUUGCCUUAGCCUUGCGGCUUGGCCUUGGAAGAGGAUGGCUUGUUGUAGACUACUGCAGAAGUCCCUACAACGUUCUCUUUCUUCAUAGUCUUCUCGGCAGUUACUAACAUAUUUAGUAACUCAGAGGGAGUACUAUCCAUCUUAUUCAUAUUGUAGUUCAUUACGAACUGCGCGAAUGAAUCAGAAAGAGAAGCUAAUACGAAGUCCUGGGCCAAUUCCCUGUGAAGUGGAGUACCAAGGUUCUCCAAUUGUUCAAUGAAUCCUAUCAUCUUCAGUACAUGUUGAUGCACUGGAGCCCCCUUGACCAUCUUGGUCUUCACAAGUUCACAAACAGUGUUAAAGCGACAGUUGCGCGUCCCUUCACCAUAUAACUCCGUAAGAUGGAGUAUUAUGGAAGAUGCACUGUCCAUGCCCUCGUGCUGUCUCUGUAGCUCCUCAUUCAUGGAAGCCAAUAGAUAACACUUGGCUUAUGUGUCAUCCUCAACGUGCUUGUCAAACUUAGCACGUUCAUCCUCAGUAGCCUCAGGGCCGAAAGGUAUGUGAGGUGGAGCCUUGUCUAGUACGUAAACAAUCUUCUCCAAUGUUAGGAGAAUCUUAACAUUACGAUACCAUGAUGGGAAAUUGUGCCCCUCUAGGCAAUGUUUGUCGAGUAUUUUCGCGAGUGUGCUUCCAACCAUAUCUAAACACAUCAACAAUAAAAUAAUUAGUUUGAUUGUUGAUUAAGUCAAACGAUUCGGGUCUUUAAACCGAAUGACACCACCCACCAUUUUUGGCAAAUUCCAUAUCCCUCAAGAUGGAAUCCGGGAGAUUUCAAAGAAAGCUCCUAGCGGGUUAUGGGAUGCUCACUAUUACCAAGCCCACCUCACGAUGAUACGAUGUUGGCUAGCAAAAAUAAUAAUGAGAGGGUACAAUUACCCAUUCACAACAACCUCUUGUGAUUACCCAUCUUUUUGGCCUCUAGAGAGCAAUGCCUCACGAUGAUACGAUGUUGGCAUCAUUUCUCUUAGUUAAGUUCUUUCCCACCAUGCCGGUUUAGAUAGGGGUUCAAUCAUGACCUCACGAUGAUACGAUGUCGGCCACACUCGUUGCCUACCUUAACCUCAUCAAAUGUUUUAAAUAAACUCCUCCUGAGUAUAAGCAUGCACUUUGCACUCCCCCAUGAUAGCGUGAAGGCGAUGUACAAGUCAUAAACGAUUGGAGCCUACCAUGGUGGAAGGCCAUGAAAAAGUGUUCAAAGCACUCUUACGCUUACAACUUAAUAUUGUUUGUUGGUUGAGGGAUUUUAAGGUCUCAUCAUUUUUAUUCAUUUAAUCACAUUCAAAUAAAUAAUGUCCUAUUACAACUACUAGUCCAAAGUUAAUGAAAUUAGUAGCAUAUGAUAUCCCCACUAUUCGUUUUCAUAAAACAAAUCAAUAUCAAAACAUUUAUCAAAAUAUUGGAGAUAUAUAUAACUACUAAUUGUAUUCAUUAUAGUUUAGUAGCGUUUGAUACUCCCACUAUUUGUUUUAAGAAAAACAAAUCAAUAUCAAAAACGAAUUUUUCAAAUAUUGGAAGUAACUACUACUACUAAGGUUUUUGCAUUCCUUUGAAAUUGGACUUUAUAGUUAUUUUAGGCUCUUGGAUGACCAUGGACUUAUUAGGUUAUUGCAACAACGAGCCAACAUUGUUGAAUAUAAACUCGGGGAGGUUGUGUCAAUUUAAUUACGUGCUUAUCAAUCCAAUUAAAACAAUUUCAUUGAGCCAUUAGAAAUGAAAGACAAUCAAUCAUUGCUAAUUAGGGCAUUGGACCCAUUUAAUCUUUAAUCUCAUGUCAAAACCCUCUUUUAGUUAUGUCUUCUUACCAAUAGUUAAAGAAACUCUAGUCUAGCACUAGAGGGAAUCAACUACCAAAUAGAGAUUAAGAAGUAAUAAGAAUUACAAACCGAUUUGUACAAAUUCCUAUAAAUUACAUAUACUAAAAGGGGAGAGAUAGAUUAAUGUCAAGCGUGACAAGGUCCAAUUAAACAGUAAUUAAAACACAUUCCCAAGGUUCAAACAAUUUGAUUUUAGCGCCUUAUCUCAUAGCUCAAUUAUAGUUUCAGGCAUAAGUCCAUAGUCACCAUUUUCUAACUACUUAAUCACAUUUAAAUAAUCAAAAUGGAAUGCAACAUGAACAUUUAGAUUUAGUGCAUAUGGGCAUAAUAGUGUUAUGAGUUUAAACAACUAACAAAAUUAAAAUCAAAUAUUUUAACUUUCUAGUUAGUAGGGGCUUAAAUGCAAAUAUGGAAAAGUUAGGGGUCAAACCGUAAAUACUUGAAAGUAUAAUAUCAACUUUUCAAAGAUUACAAAAUAGCCCCACAAGUGGAUAAAUCCACUAGGGAGGCCGGCCACAUUAAGGGGAUGGGAGGUCUCUUGCACAUUCUUACACAACAUGCAUUAAAUUCCACAUUAUGUAGAAAAAAUUAAAUUUUGCUUGUCACUUGGUUUUGCUUCAAAGACUUUAGUGAAAAGGGUUGAUGGAAAUCUCCUAGUCAAGUCUAGGAUUUAAUAAAUUUAUGAUAUGGUUAUGGAUGGUAUGAACAUCAUCCAAAACCACAAAACAAUGCAUGAAAACCAAACAAAACCAUUUUCACCAAAAACCAAACCAUGAACACCAAGAACAUAACCAUGAACUUAUUUUCAAGAUUUGUAUAUUCUUGGUGAUUUUUCAAACCCAAAAACAAAAGUGACAAGAACUCUUCUUUCAAGCUUUAAAAGGAUGUGAGAGUGGUUUACAAUAAUCACAAACACAACCCAAAACCACCCCCAAAACCGUGCCCUCCCUUUGGUUCAAAACCCCAAAUUUUGUUCAUGACUUAUUCUUCAUUCAUGCAUACAAAACAACUUUUACAUGCAUAUCUUUUUCAACUCUUGAUUUAUAUUUUUCAACCAUUGAAAAACAAAAGAUAAACAUACUUAAAUGAAGAAAUAAUAUGUCAAAUUAGUUCAAAACUCAAUUUUCAUUCAUGCAUACAAAACAACUUUUGCAUACAUAUCUUUCUCAACUAUUGACUAACAUUUUUCAACUAUUGAAAAAAAAAAGAUAAACAUAUAUUGAAUGAAGCAAUAAUCAUGUCAUACAUAAUAUUAAUACCCAUAUGCAUAAAAUCCAAAAGGACACAUUAUACAUAAACCUUUGGCUCUGAUACCACUUGAAGGGGAAAUUAUGAGUUUAACACAUGAGAUUUCUAAAUGACUGCAUGCAUAUACAAAUCAAAAUUUAUAUACAUGAGCAACGGAAGCAAUUUAUCAAAUAAUAUCAAAGCUAUAGUCAUGAAAAUCCCCUUCAAGGUUCAUAGGUUUAUAUAUAAUGCAUCUAAAACAUUUAACUUAAGAACAAAGUCAAGGAAUAGAUCUAUACCUCUUGAUCUUGAUUUUAGACCAAGGAUGGACCACCUCCAAGCCCUUUGCUCCUUGAAGUCCUUGAGCCUAGCCUCCCUCCUUGCCUCCUCCAUUUUGAAUGUAAGAGUGCUCCAAGGUUCUCCUUAAGUCUCCAAAGGAGAAGACCUCAAAAGAUCCACACCUACUAGUGUAGUGAGAUGGAUGGUGGAAUAACCAAAAGGGUGAAAGAUUGUUAGUUAAAUCACCCCCAAGGUGGCCGGCCUUUGUAAUGUUUUUAGAGAUAUUUCUUUUGCCUCUUUGUUUUUUUAAACACACAAAAACCCUAAGGAUUAAUUUCUAUAAAGUUCCUUAUAUAGACAAAAAGAAACCUAGUCAACAACUUGACUAAAUAUCUCUCCCUUUCCACUUAAAGUGGCCGGCCUCUUUGUGUUGGAUUUGGGCUUUGGGCUUUUAUAUAUUUCAAGUCAUCCAAUGCUUGAAUAAAAGCCCAAUGAGUUUAGGCCCAAUGGGCCCAAUUAAACCCGAACGUUUCUAUAAGCCCAAAACGAUCUUUUAUCGCUUUUAUGAUUUCUUUAGACUUUCUAAAUUAAUCACAACACUUAAUUAAUCCAAUUAAUUAUUUCCUCCAUCCAGUAAUUACUCACUACAAUAGUGUAUCGGUGUACAAUCAUUUUAGGUUCUAAUUAGCAAGGCAGUGAGGUGAUUGGCAUCAAUCCAAUUGAUUAUAUUUAAUUCAAUCACUUAGUGAAUUAAAACUUCUUUUUAAUUCACCUUCUUCUUUGAUGACUACAUUUAAUCAUCUAGAAGAACUCACAAGCUAUGAGUGACAUCUAACCAUAUGUCAUAGCUACCCAAGCUAAUGUAGAAGCUGUUCGGAGAACCUAUUCAGUUAGAAUUACAAUGUAAUUCGAUCAUUCUCUAAAACAAUACUCUCAACCACAUUACUAGGGUAUGGAUAUAUUAUGUCAAACCCCUAAUGUGAUUAUUCCUUCUUAUAUGAUUCAAUUGAGUCGUAUAGGAACACUUUCCUUUAUUACGCUCGAUACUUCGGCCGAAGAUUCCCGAAUCAUAUCUUAGAGUAUUCUUCCUCUCUUAUCGAAGAUUAGAGAUCCCUUGUUGCGCAUUCACUUGCCUUCAUGACUAAGUGGCUUAACCCCAAUUAUGCCGUGGACACCUGCGAAUGGGAUGACUUUGACAUAAACAAAGAUUAAGUACUUAGCCACAAGACAACGACGAUGCCUCAGGUCAAAGGACUAUUUACCAAGCCCACCUCACGAUGAUACGAUGUUGGCUAGCAAAAAUAAUAAUGAGAGGGUACAAUUACCCAUUCACAACAACCUCUUGUGAUUACCCAUCUUUUUGGCCUCUAGAGAGCAAUGCCUCACGAUGAUACGAUGUUGGCAUCAUUUCUCUUAGUUAAGUUCUAUCCCACCAUGCCGGUUUAGAUAGGGGUUCAAGCAUGACCUCAUGAUGAUACGAUGUUGGCCACACUCGUUGCCUACCUUAACCUCAUCAAAUGUUUUAAAUAAACUCCUCCUGAAUAUAAGCAUGCACUUUGCACUCCCCCAUGAUAGGGUGAAGGCGAUGUACAAGUCAUAAACGAUUGGAGCCUACCACGGUGGAAGGCCACGAAAAAGUGUUCAAAGCACUCUUACGCUUUCAACUUAAUAUUGUAUGUUGGUUGAGGGAUUUUAAGGUCUCAUCAAUUUUAUUUAUUUAAUCAUAUUCAAAUAAAUAAUGUCCUAUUUACAACUACUAGUCCAAAGUUAAUGAAAUUAGUAGCAUAUGAUAUCUCCACUAUUCGUUUUCAUAAAACAAAUCAAUAUCAAAACAUUUUUCAAAAUAUUGGAGAUAUAUAUAACUACUAAUUGUAUUCAUUAUAGUUUAGUAGCGUUUGAUACUCCCACUAUUUGUUUUAAGAAAAACAAAUCAAUAUCAAAAACGAAUUUUUCAAAUAUUGGAAGUAACUACUACUACUAAGGUUUUUGCAUUCCUUUGAAAUUGGACUUUAUAGUUAUUUUAGGCUCUUGGAUGACCAUGGACUUAUUAGGUUAUUGCAACAACGAGCCAACAUUGUUGAAUAUAAACUCGGGGAGGUUGUGUCAAUUUAAUUACGUGCUUAUCAAUCCAAUUAAAACAAUUUCAUUGAGCCAUUAGAAAUGAAAGACAAUCAAUCAUUGCUAAUUAGGGCAUUGGACCCAUUUAAUCUUUAAUCUCAUGUCAAAACCCUCUUUUUAUGUCUUCUUACCAAUAGUUAAAGAAACUCUAGUCUAGCACUAGAGGGAAUCAACUACCAAAUAGAGAUUAAGAAGUAAUAAGAAUUACAAACCGAUUUGUACAAAUUCCUACAAAUUACACAUACUAAGAGGGAGAGAUAGAUUAAUGUCAAAUGUGACAAGGUCCAAUAAAAACAGUAAAUAAAACACAUUCCCAAGGUUCAAACAAUUUGAUUUUAGCGCAUUAUCUUAUAGCUCAAUUAUCGUUUUAAGGCAUAAGUCCAUAGUCACACUUGUUUCUAACUAUUUAAUCAUAUCAAAUAAUCAAAUGGAAUGCAACAUAAACAAUUAGAUUUAGUGCAUAUGGGCAUAAUAGUAUUAUGAGUUUAAACAACUAACAAAAUUAAAAUCAAAUAUUUUAACUUUCUAAUUAGUAGGGGUCUAAAUGCAAAUAUGAAAAAGUUAGGGGUCAAACCGUAAAUACUCAAAAGUAUAAAAUAUCUUUUUCCAAAUUACAAAAAGCCUCACAAGUGGAUAAAUCCACUAGGGUGGCCGGCCACAUUAAGGGGUGAUGGGAAGUCUCACCCAUCUUGCUUUAAUUCAAUGCAAGGUAGAAAAAUCCAAAUUUGCAUGUCACUUGGUUUUGGCUUAAAAGGCUUUAAUGAAAAAAAGGUGAUGGAAAUCUCCUAGACAAGUCUAGGGUUUUAAAAGUUUUAAUAUGGUUAUGGAUGGUAAGAACAUCAUCCAAAACCAUAAAACUAUGCAUGAAAACCAAAUAAAACCAUUUUCACCCAAAACCAAACUAUGAACACCAAGAACAAAACCAUGAACACUUUUUCAAGAUUUGUGUAUUCUUGGUGAUUUUUCAAACCCAAAAACUAAAGUGACAAGGUUUCUACUUUCUAGCUUUAAAAUGAUGUGUGAGUGUAUUACAAUAAAACACAAACACAUGCCCAAAAAUUCCCCAAAACCGUGCCAACCACAAAGAACAAAACCCCAAAUUUUUGUUCAUGACUUAUUCUUCAUUCAUGCAUACAAAACAACUUUUACAUGCAUAUCUUUUUCAACUAUUGAUUUAUAUAUUUUUCAACCAUUGAAAAAACAAAAGAUAAACAUACUUUGAAUGAAGAAAUAAUAUGUCAAACUAGUUCUAAACUCAUUUUUCAUUCAUGCAUACAAAACAACUUUUGCAUACAUAUCUUUCUCAACUAUUGACUAACAUUUUUCAACUAUUGAAAAACAAAAGAUAAACAUAUUUUGAAUGAAGCAAUAAUUAUGUCAUACAUAAUAUUAAUACCCAUAUGCAUAAAAUCCAAAAGGACACAUUAUACAUAAACCUUUGGCUCUGAUACCACUUGAAGGGAAAAUUAUGAGUUUAACACAUGGGAUUUCGAAAUGACUAGCAUGCAUAUACAAUUCAAAAUUUAUAUACAUGAGCAACGGAAGCAAUUAUCAAAUAAUAUCAAAGCAAUAGUCAUGCAAAUCCCCUUCAAGGUUCAUAGGUUUAUAUAUAAUGCAUCUAAAACAUUCAAGUAAACAACUAAGUGAAAGUAUAGAUCUAUACCUCUUGAUCUUGAUUUUAGACCAAGGAUGGACCACCUCCAAGUCCUUUGCUCCUUGAAGUCCUUGAGCCUAGCCUCCCUCCUUGCCUCCUCCACUUUGUUAGUAAGAGUGCUCCAAGGUUCUCCUUUAGUCUCCAAAGGAGAAGACCUCUAAAUAUCCACACCCACUAGUGUAGUGAGAUGGAUGGAGGAAUAACCAAAAGGGUGAAAGAUUGUUAGUAAAAUCACCCCCAAGGUGGCCGGCCUUUGUAGUGUUUUAGAGAGAUAUUUCUUUUGCCUCUUUGUUGUUUUAAACACACAAAAACCCUAAGGAAUAAAUCUCUAUAAAGUUCCUUAUAUAGACAAAAAGAAACCUAGUCAACAACUUGACUAAAUAUCUCUCCCUUUCCACUUAAAGUGGCCAGCCUCUUUGUGUUGGAUUUGGGCUUUGGGCUUUUAUAUAUUUCAAGUCAUCCAAUGCUUGAAUAAAAGCCCAAUGGGUUUAGGCCCAAUGGGCCCAAUUAACCCGAACGUUUCUAUAAGCCCAAAACGAUCUUUUAUCGCUUUUAUGAUUUCUUUAGACUUUCUAAAUUAAUCACAACACUUAAUUAAUCCAAUUAAUUAUUUCCUCCAUCCAGUAAUUACUCACUACAAUAGUGUAUCGGUGUACAAUCAUUUUAGGUUCUAAUUAGCAAGGCAGUGAGGUGAUUGGCAUCAAUCCAAUUGAUUAUAUUUAAUUCAAUCACUUAGUGAAUUAAAAAUUCCUUUUAAUUCACCUUCUUCUUUGAUGACUACAUUUAAUCAUCUAGAAGAACUCACAAGCUAUGAGUGACAUCUAACCAUAUGUCAUAGCUACCCAAGCUAAUGUAGAAGUUGUUCGGAGAACCUAUUCAGUUGGAAUUACAAUGUAAUUCGAUCCAUCUCUAAAACAAUACUCUCAACCACAUUACUAGGGUAUGGAUAUAUUAUGUCAAACCCCUAAUGUGAUUAUUCCUUCUUAUAUGAUUCAAUUGAGUCGUAUAGGAACGCUUUCCUUUAUUACGCUCGAUACUUCGGCCGAAGAUUCCCGAAUCAUAUCUUAGAGUAUUCUUCCUCUCUUAUCGAAGAUUAGAGAUCCCUUGUUGCGCAUUCACUUGCCUUCAUGACUAAGUGGCUUAACCCCAAUUAUGCCGUGGACACACGCGAAUGGGAUGACUUUGAUAUAAUCAAAGAUUAAGUACUUAGCCACAAGACAACGACGAUGCCUCAGGUCAAAGGACUACUUACAUUAUUCCAACCAUUAGAGUUACUUGCUUGACAUGUGAGUAGACCUCCAUGCAAGUACUCUCGUUCGAUUGUGUUCAGUGAACUCAUUCCCUUAAUGAGCACCUACAUACUUGUCUUAGUGUCACAACACGAAUGGGAUGAGACUUUCCAUCCUUCCAUUUGAAGCAGACACAGUAUGUACCAGUCUAAGCAUUGUCAGUAUCCCUCCGACAAUCCAAUGAUUAGGAACCUUUUGGACAUAAUGGUUAUGUGAAGAAGGUCUCUGUAGUCUAACAUCAUUAGAUUACUUCUUCAAUCGAUCCAUUGUCCAUGGAUUCACUAUUUAGGACAUAUAUCGUUUAUUGAGAUAGUCUUAAUUAGUAUCUUUGCCAUUUGAUGUAUAAGAGUCAUCUAUACAUCGAUUCAUUUGUCCUGAAAGGUUUCUUCCAAAGAUUGUCUUUCAGGGCAUAUUUCCAACAAGAGUUAGGUAUUCAUUCAUGAUCAUUUCUCCAAAUAGUGGGUGGUCUGCUGGGAGUCCUUUUUGGAAGGCUGCACUUGCUAUCGAGUGAUCGCAUCUGACGAUCUUCGCCUUCUCUACUUUGAAUCUCUUCACGUAGUGGCAGAGUGACUCCUUUGGGUUUUUCUUUACGUUGAACAAGUGAUCGGACUUUUUCUUGAUCGAGCAGUAAGAUAAGUAUUCUUUGGUGAAAGCCAAGGAAAGAUCAUCAAAAUUCUGGAUAGAUCGUGGUGGCAAGGUGUGAAACCAAUCUUGUGCCUCGCCUUGUAGAAUGGUGGUGAAUAUUUUGCACAUAAGGGUGUCAUUGUUCCAGUAAGGACCAUCGCGUUUUGGUAAUGCUUCAAGUGCCUCUCUGGAUCUCCAUUUACUUUGAAAGAUGUGAAGUGCGGCAUGCUAAACUUGUAUGGAAGCUUUACCUGCUUAAUCUCACCCGUGAAAGGUGACCUACUUAUGUUGGUUAUAUCCUGCCUUAGUGCGUCAUCAUCCAUUUUGUUGCGUCGGAAAUCACGCAUCCGUUUAUUGAAAAGUCUUUCUGCCUCUGCUUGGAUUUGCCUUUGUUGGGGUAGCGGAGCUCUUGGCUGCCCUUGGUCUUGACCUGCUGUUCUAGGCUGCUCUUUUACACGCUCGACUUAUUUAUGUCAUGGCUGCGGUAUAUGAGAUAGGCUCCUAGCAGGUGAGGGGUUUCUUCGCAAGCUACUGGUUGAACUUAAACCAAAUUAAGUGAUUGCUUCUCUCCAUACGCAAUGCUUCCUGCUCCGAUGUAAUGUGGCUAAUGCUCAUUGCGGGCCUAACUGCGAAUGAAUGUUUUGCCUAGAAGGCUACUCAUGUUGAUUAUCGGAGCAUGGCCCCAACCGUGAAUGUAUACUUGUCCGUGGGCCUAGUCGAGAGUGCACGCUCCUCUGCGCACUAAGACAGGAAUAUACGCUGUCUCGGGGGCCCAAUCGAGAGUGUACAUUGCCCGAAUGCUUAUACGUUGUCUCGGGGGCCCAAUCGGAAGUGUACACUACCCGAAUGCUUGAUUUGUGGUUGGUUGAGUAGCUACAUGACAGGACGCUGGUUGAGAGGUUCCUCCUCUGCCCUUGUCCUACUUCGGGACACUUCAUCUAGGGCACGUUGGAUCUCGGUGCAUUGUAAAAGUUGAUUUACCAAGGUCGUUUGUCGUGCUAGGGUGCUCGUCAACUCUAUGAAUUGUCGGGAUAAGUGUUGUUCAUCAUUCGGAUUGGAAGAGCUUGGAUGGAAUGUGCCUCCUUGAGUAGUAGAAGAAUGGUAGGCCCUGGGAACGAGAUUUGAGUUGGGAAAUGUCAAAUUCGUGGAAAAAUGUGGUGAAAAUGCCCCCGGCUAGAUGAUUGGUCGAGAUGGUCUUGGGCCGACUUGGGCUACUUGGUGGGAACAAGCUGGGCCAUGAGAGUGAGCUGCUCGGUGCGUGAUGUAUGCGAGAGUGAGGCUUGGGUCGUGGCCUUAGUGCUGUAAGCCUCCUUGGAUAGCACGGCUCGGGCCAUGGUGAAAGCACCAUGGACCUCGCCACGUGUGGCUACUGAGGUAGCCACCGCGGUGGUUCUCGUGGUGGAAACUCGUAGUGGUGGUGCCGCUCCACUUAUUGUCGCAUUUAGCCUCAUGGAUCGUUGUGGUCCCAUUCCUUGGAUAUUGGAAUUUUCACUCAUGGAAUUUUCUAAAUUUCUAGCCAUUGUAUUCUUCUUUUACGUUUUAUCAAAGAAUCUUUGCAAAUAAAAAAUUCUAAUAAUAAAAACGUACGAAAAAAUACAAGUGGACUAGAAAAUAGAGAAAAACCUUUUUUUUGCGAGAGUCUUCUACGAGUGUGGAUUUCUUUUCUCAAUGAAAGCACCAAUUUGUGGAUGCAAAUUUCCACCUUCUUCUUCUUGGACAAAAUUUCACCUAUAGAACAAAUAACACCUUAGGUCAAGGCCAAGAGCCUCAUGUGCCCAUGAUGAACGGGGUUUUGGCCGAAGAACCUCCGAUGCCAAAGUUAGAAUUUUGAGGGAAAAGUGUUUAGAGAGUUUUUGGAAUUUUGCAAGAGAAUGAGAAAUCAUUUUUGGGAGAGAAUGGUGAGCUAUAUAUAGGGAUAUGGCCGGCCCUAUUAGGAGAAUAGGGACUGGGCAUUUAGGUAUUUUUUAGGUGUAAAUUGUGGUUAAUUAGCCAUUAAUAGAUUAAUUAGGUAAUAAAUCUAUUAAUUGACUAAUUAACAUAUUUUGAAAUAAAUUAUUUGGGGAGUUAUGGAAUGAUUAAGAUAAUUAGCUAAUUGACUAGCUAAAAAGGGGAAAAUGAGGUAAAAAAAUAUAUGGAAUGAAACAAGUUUUGGGAGUUACCUUGUAGAAGGGAUUUGAUGAGAUAGGUUUUGAAUUGUUACCUAUUUUGGGCACUUUUGACUUGGUUGAGGGAUGAUUACCUGCUGCUCGCGCAUAGGAAUCCUAUUAUGCCUCAAGGGUAUUUUUGUCCUCUUUUGUCCAAAAAUCCACGUGCUGCCUUGUGAUUAUUUUUGGCUCCACAAUUGUUACAACAGCACAAAAACUAUGAAAAAUAUGUUUGCAAUGGUACCUUAAUGAACAAUUUCAUUACUCAUUAUUGGAUUUUUUAAGGAUCAAAAUAUGUGGUAUGUACCAAUUUUCUUCUCUCCUAUCCUUUUUUUUUUCAUUCGGUUUCUUCUCUCCUAUCUUAAUUGAUUGUAAUCAUAAGAAAGAUUGUAUGCUUUAGCUUGUUCAUCAUUCUUUUAUACUGAUAGAAGUGCAUACCCAUACCACGCGAGACCCCUUAUGCUUAAACAAUGUAUGUGACCUACUCACCCUUAUCUACUUUCCAUCCAAUUCUGUCAAAUAUUUUAUGUCACUAACCUAAAUUUAAUUUGGACAUGAAACUUUAAGAGUAUAAUAAAUACAUAAAAAAAUGGCUAGGAAAGCACUAGGGCUAGAUAUUGCUAUGUCGGCUUUCAGGAUUUCUAGGGGUUUUUGAGGCAAUGGUUUGGCUGGCAAUGAAGGCAACAAUUUGGGUACGCCAAAGGUGUUUGUUUUCUAGAAUAGUAAGGUUAAUGGGGGUUUUUUACUGUGAGUUCUUGCGGAGCACUGUGCAAGCGGUGUAUACGGGGAUGAACGAUAUGGUUACAAAGUUUGCAGAAGGUUUGGAUCUCAUGAUUAAGGAAUAGAGAGUUGUGGUGAUCGACGAUCAUGAAAGUGCUCUUCUUAGGACCGACAAGGUCUUCUUGGUGGGGAAGGUGCUUACAUGAAAGGACUUCAACAAGGAUAGGUUCAAACGUCAAAUGUUGAAUAUUUGGCGUCCGAAAACAAGAGUUAUGAUAGUUGAAUUAGACGAUGGGUUGUUUUUGUUUGGUUUUGACAAUCGUCGGGAAAGGGCAAUGGUGUAAAACGGGGGCCCAUGGUUAUACGACGGUGCCUUGUUAAUGUUGGCAGAGGCGGACAGUUUGGUGAAUCCGGCAAGUAUUCCGUUAAUGCCUCAGAAGUUCUGGCUUCAAGUCAAGGGUCUACCUCUGGCUUAUAUGACUUAACAUAUGGGUCAGUUUAUUGGGAAUCAAAUUGGAGAUCAUGUUUUAACUGAUCAGAGCAAGAAAGGUGAGCUAUUGGGUAGCAUUAUGCGUAUUAGAGUUGCACUGAAUAUUGCUACACUGCUUCGCCAAAGUCUGUAUUAUCCAUACAGGGCACGGAGGUCCGGGUUGAGUUGGGGUAUGAGAAGCUACCAAUAACAUGCUUUUUAUGUGGGCUUUUUGGUCAUAUAGAAAAGCACUGCGUACAAUUCAAAGGGAAAAACAAUGAUGAUUUCUCGAAGUCGUAUGGCUAUUGGUUCCAGAACGAUGUUUUGUGAGCUAAUUAUCGUAAGCCAUAAGGUAAGAGGUUUGGGUUGGAGCUGUCGCAUGGCUGGUCUAUGAAAGCUCCAAUGCACGUCGAGAAGGUUGACAGUACAAGUAAUUAUGAAGGGGUGGUCUAGGCCACGAUAGAGGAAGCUGCGUCAGUAGCUAUAGAGGCACAGUCAAACGAUGACAGACUGAGAGGGGAACAUGAGGAUGAUAGUAUUAAUGACACCAUUAAUUUGCCAUAUUUGAAUGUUGCCGUUACUUCCGAGGAGAUGAUGAUUGAUGCUAUGGCAAUUAUUCCUUUCCAACCAACUCCUAUAAAUCAGGAACUACGUGGGUUGACUUUAUUUGGAUUUGAUUUAAAUGCCCUACCAGCUGGGAGUGGAGAGCAUAUUUCGAUUCAUUCUUCUAUUGUAAUGAUGGGGGUAGGUAAUACAACUGGGGAGAGCCUCAUUGGGCCUCGUAGUGGUGAGGGGAUUGUAUUGGGCCACCAUGUGGAAAUGGUGGAUUACAACUUGGGCCACGCACAAACUGGUGUAGGAUCGGACCCAUUUAAUUUAAUGCUUAUUAUUGAGCAAUUCUCGUCACAUGGACAGUUUACAUUUAAAGUUGAAUUUUGAUCGUAGUUUUACAAUUUAUAGUAGAGGUAGCUCGAGAAGAUUAUGUGUUUUAUGGAAGGAGGAAAUAAAUUUACGUUUAAGGUCUUAUUCUCAGAACCAUGUUGAUUUUGAUGUGUGUUCCGGGGGAUUCAGAUUAUUGGCACAUUACUGUUUUUAUGGAUUUUCAGCUAUGGCCGAUCGUUAUAAGUCCUGGCAAUUGUUACAGUCUCUGUCAUAAUGACUAUCAACCUUAGUUAUUAUGUAUUGGUGACUUUAAUGAAGUUCUCCAAGCUCAUGAGCAGGAAAGGGGUAAUGUUUGACAAGAUAGACAAAUAGAAGGAUUUCGUAAUGCAGUAGAAAGUUGGCGAUUUAUUGAUCUUGGCUUCACUGAGAAUAAGUAUAUGUGGUUUACAAUAAAAGGGGGUGGAAUAAAGGUGAGGUUAGAUCGUGCGCUGGGUAAUCAGGAAUGGAUUAAUUUGGUUCCUCGAUUCACAGUGAAUUAUUUGAAUAAAUCCAUACCGUAUCGUGUACCAGUUCUAUUGAAUUAGUCGGGGCGUAUGCCAGUUCGAGGGAGAAAGUAGUUUCGUUAUGAGGAAUUUUGGAAUAUGCAUGAAGGGUGUGCUGAAGUGGUAUGAAAUGAUUGGGAAAGUGCUGUGAUUGGGUCGCCAAUGUUCUAGGUCACUGAGAAAAUAAAAUUGACAAGAAUGUAGCUAAACAACAGGGCUCAAAGUAAUGCCAAGUCGGGGCCGAGAGAGAUUAGCUAAGUGGAGGACAAGCUUACAAGUCUGUUAGGCCACCCUCUUAUAGAGGAAUCUAUUAAGCAAAAGAAGACACUUAUUGGCAGACUAAAUAGGUUACUUGAACAAGAAGAGCAAUAUUGGAGACAGCGAUCGAAGGAUAAUUGGGUUAAAUUUGGGGACCGCAAUACCAAAUAAUUUCAUUAGAAAGCAAAUAGGCGACAAAAAAGAAAUUGUUUAUAUGGUAUAAUAGAUGAUCAUGGGGAGUGGCAUGAGGACCGUGGAGGGAUGGAAGAUAUAGUUGUGUCAUAUUUUUCUUGCCUGUUUGCUUCUAAUGGAGUGAAUAACUUUGACGAGGUCUUAUGUCAUAUGUCACCCUCGAUAACGAAAGAGAUGAAUUCUUCACUAGAGAGCCCCUUUACAGAUGAUGAGAUUAAAUGUGCAAUGUUUCAAAUGCAUCCAAAGAAAGCACUUGGCCCUAAUGGUAUGUCUCUUAGAUUUUAUCAAAAACAUUGGGGGGGUGGUUAGUGUGGAUGUGUGUAAUGGAGUUCGAAACAUGCUCCUCUCGGGUCACUUUUUGAGGAAAAUUAAUUAUACCCAUGUUACGUUAAUUUCCAAGGUAAAGGAUGCUACAAAGAUGACACAGUUACGACCUAUUAGUUUAUGCAAUGUCCUAUAUAAGAUUGUGGCAAAAGUUCUUAUGAACAGGUUGAAUGCUAUUCUCCUUCGUAAUAUUGCGCCUACCCAGAGUGCUUUUAUUCCACGGUGCCUGAUCUCUGAUAAUUAUUUAGUUGCCGUUGAAGUUGCUCAUUAUAUGCAUAAGAGAUCAUCAAGGUCAAAUGGUCUCAUGGCUUUGAAAUUGGAUAUUAGUAACGCAUAGGAUCAGGUGAAGUGGAGGUUUCUUGAGGCCAUAAUGUCUCGCAUGGGCUUCUCUAAUAAGUGGACUAAGAUGAUUAAUUAUGUGUUACAGUGACCUACUCUUUCAAGCUGAACGGGGAUCCGGUAAGUCAUGUGCAUCGGUAAAGGGGAAUUUGACAAGGGGACCCCGUCUCACCCUAUUUGUUCGUUAUUUAUGCCGAGGGUCUCUCGGCAUUGCUCUCAAAGGCUAAAACCAAAAGGGAGUUGCAGGGAGUUAAAUUAUGUCGUAAUGCCCCUAGUAUUCAUUAUUUCUUCUUUGCUGAUGAUAGUUUUCUGUUUGCUCGUGGUACCCUUUAUGAGUGUCAGAAAAUCAAGCAGGUGGUACGUAUGUAUGAGGAGGCCUCUGGGCAAGCAAUGAAUUUCGAGAAAAGUUGUGUCUCUUUUAGCCCUAAUCUCACGUGUUUUGAUAAGCAAUUGCUUGCCGAUUGCCUUGGCAUGAGGAGGGUGGAGUUUCAUGAUAAAUAUCUGGGUUUGCCGGUCCUAAUUAGGAAAUCGAAAAAGGAAACUUUUGCGUAUGUGAAAGAUAGGCUUUGGAAGAAAUUACAAAGUUGGUUGGGGGGGGGGGAUUUGGUGGAGUGGUGAUCUGGGCAAGCAGCUUAAUUGGCGAAGUUUGUGUAAGCCUAGGAGAAAGGGAGACCUUGGGUUUAGGGAUCUCUAUGCAUUUAACCUUGCUUUGUUAGCAAAGCAAGCUUGACGGUUCAUGUAUCAACCUGAGUCGCUUACUUUUCGUGUAUUCAAGGCUCGAUACUUUCCUACGACAUAAUUUCUGGAGGCUCGAGUUAAAGCUAACAGCUCCUAUGUGUGGAAAGCAUUGUCGCUUCUCGGGGGGGGGGUGAUACAAAAGGGUUCUCGAUGGCAGGUGGGGAAUGGGAGAAUAAUACACAUUUGGCAAGAUAAUUAGGUGCCGAAAGACCAUUACUUUCAAAUUUUGACCCCUUCUUUGGCGCAUUGGGAUAGUGAUGUUGUGGUGGAUGGCCUUUUUGGAAUGAGUCAAAGCAAUGAAAUGUUCAGUUAUUGGGUGAGCUAUUUUCUUCUGAGGAAGUGGAGUUAAUUCGGAGCCUUUCUCUUAGCUUGAGGAAUGUGGAAGAUUGUUGGAUUUGGCACUAUGAGUGGAAUGGCAAGUUCACGAUGCGGAGCGCAUACCAUGUAGCACGGGCCCUUAAUGUUUCUAGCGGGGCAAAUGCAGAAGCAUCGUCUUCCUCUUUUGGUAGAGUGGGAGAGAACUUUUGGAAGAAAUUAUGGGACACACCUGUGUUCCGAGGAAGGUUAAGAUUUGUGCUUGGUGUGCGUGUUUAGACACAUUACCUACAUGCUCGAAUCGGCGCAAAUAGUGGGUGAUGAGUAAAGAUGUUUGUGUGGUUUGUGGUGGGUUAGUCAAGUCCAUUGAGCAUGCAUUAGGAGAUUGUAGCUUGGUAAAGGCAGUGUGCUUUCGAAGUCUAGGCUGAGGGUGGAGAUGGAUUACAGGUUGUCUUUAGUGUAAUGGAUCUCUCGAUUAUCUCUACAGAUUCCCUCAUCUAGGUUUGAGUUAUGCUUAACGUUGUUUUGGGCUAUCUAGAAGCAAAGAAAUUACAUGGUUUGGGAAAACGGUUCUUUGAUCCCCUCGCAGGAAGUGGUGUUGAGAGCUGAAGGUUGGCUGUGUGAGUUUCAACAAUGGCAUAAAUGGGCUACAAAAAAGGCUAGCUGAGAGGUGUAGCAGUGGUAGAAACCAAAAGUUGGAUGGGUAAAGUGUAAUUUUGAUGGAGCAUGGAGUUGAAAUGGACUAUGAGGGGGUUUUGGGGUGGUAAUUUGCAAUCAUUCAUAGGAGUUUUUGGCUGCUUCUGCGGGUCCUAUUGAGAUGACACAAUCGGCACUCUACGCAGAGUUGAUUGUUCUUCGAAAUGCAGUUUUAUUGGUUAAAAAUAAUUGUCCUAUCGGCUGGAAGGUUAUUUUUUAAGGAGACUCUAGUUUGCUGCUGGUGGCAAUGAAGAAUCAAGGGGAAAAUUGCUCCUUUGGUCCUGUAAUAAAUAAUGUUAAAGUCUUCCUCAAAGGAAUGGCUUAUUCACGAGUUACCCAUGUGCAACAGAAGGGCAACUCUACUGCACAUCACCUUGCUCGUACGGGUAUUAGGAGUUCUCAAGAGAUUAUGUUGUUUGAGGAGCCUCCGGAUGUACUCCAAGAUGUCUUAGUUGAGGAGGGAAUGUAAUUUCUAUAUUGUUCAGCUAAGGAUAGGUCACAUUAUUAUGCGGGACACUCUUUUUCCCUUCAACCGGGAUGAAAUCCCCGGCAAGGUUUUUAUCAAGGCCCAUUAUGCACACUAUCCUUAGGUUGUACGUACUCUUUGUUCUUUAAUGAAUAUCGUUUCAUUUUCAAAAAACAAAAUGGGAAUUGUUAUUGGCACUCCAAAAAUCUCAUUUGGCAUUCCAAAUUUUCUAAAAUUAGAAAAAAGAAAUACACUUAUGAGGAGUGUAGAAUGAGAUUUUUGGAGUGCUAAAACAAAUUCCCUUUUUAAAAUGAUGUCAAGUGAAGAUGAUUUUCACAGUUUGCAAAAUUAAUUUCACAAUCCAACCGGCAAACUUAUUUGCAUAUACUCUAAAAUCGUACAAGCCAAAAAUGAUCAAAACUAAACUUUUGGGGAUUAGGUAACAAGACAAAAUCCUUUGAUGGUUAGAAACAAAAAUUCGAGAUUUAAUGAUUAUUUUAGCUCCGAUUUUGAUUUUUUUUUUUUACAAAAUCUUACGUUCUACUUAAUGUAAGUAUUGAAACGAACUUUAAGUAAUUGUUAAACCUAUUGUUUUGACGUUAAACUUGUUUAUAUAUACUCUGAGAUCAUAUACACCAAAAAUCACCAGAAACGAUCUUUUGAGGAUUAGAUAAUGGGACGAAAUCCUUUGAUAGUUGUGAACGCAUCAUCACAAUUUAAUUGCUAUACAACCUUUGAUUUUGAUUACGUUUUCAAGGAUGCUAAUUGAGAAUAAAACCACACACUAAAUUGACAUGGUCAUCAAAUUUGAUGAUCUUUCAACUGUUUGAAUAUUAAAUAAAAAUGUAAGCUAAAAAUAAACUUUUUAUGUUUGCCCGACAAAAUAAGUACAGUUCAUCGACCAAAUGUACAUAAUUUCAUUGGGCAACAAUAUUUAUUGGGUAAAUUACAUUUUAUCCCCUCAGGUUUGGGGUAGAUUUCAAUUCCUUAUAGCAACUUUAAAACAUUUCAAUUUCAUACAUUUAUUUAUCAUUUUAUUUCAAUUUCAUACAUCCGUUAAGUAAACCGUUAAGUGAUGACGUGGCUGCCAAAUUUGUGCCACGUGGCAAAAAAAUAAAAUAUUAUAAUAAUUUAUCCUAUUAAAAAAAAAAAAGAAACCCAUCUUCUUCCCCGAGCACUCCCAUCCCCACACCCCACCUACAAACCCUCCCUACCCCACAACCAUCUAGAAACCCAUCUCCAACCCCACCCACAAACACCUGCACACUAGCGUAUCGAGAAGCUUCUAGGGCUUUUCAAGAUCGAGCUGCGACGUGACUCCACGGCCAAUGCAGUCGACGACAACGAGGCUUGCAUGGGUGACAUGCGCAUAAAGAUUUUGUCCUCCCAGGACAUGGUGUUCCAGUGCCAGAGGGUGGGCUUUGGGUGGGGUGGGGUGGGGUGGGGUGCGGUGGGGGUUGCAGGGGUAGGGGGUUACAGGUGGGGUAGGGUGGGAUGGGUGUGCUCAGGAAGAAGAUGAGUUUCUUUUCUUUUCUUUUUAAUAGGAUAAAUUAGUAUAAUAUUUUAAAUCCAUAAAAAAAAGAUUUUUUGCCAUGUGGCACAAAUUUGGCAACCACGUCAUCACUUAACGGUUUACUUGACGGAUUUUCUAACGGAUGUAUGAAAUUGACAUAAAAUGGUAAGUAAAUGUAUGAAAUUGAAAUGUUUUAAAGAUGUUGUUAGGAAUUGAAAUCAACUCCAAACCUGUGGGGGUAAAAUGUAAUUUACCCAUAUUUAUUUCGUCGGGCAAACCUAAUAAUUUCCUUUGGCUUAAAGAUGUCAAAUAUUGGAAAUAUUGUGAAAUUACAAGAAUAUUGUAAAAGUUUGUGAAAUUUGAAGGAAAUUUGUUAAAUAAUUUUUGGAAAUAAAUUAAAUUUGUAGGAAAUUUGUGAAAUUGUAGGAGAGAAAUGAAAUUUGUAGUAAAGAAAUGAAAUUUUAUCAAAUAAUGUCAUAUUAAAAUAAUUUUUGUAAAUGAUUGUUUCUUUAUAGUGUUAUUUUUUCAUAGAUGUCAUCGUUGUUUAUCACCAGUGGCUGCCGCUCUGCCUCCGGUUCAGGUUAGUGUGACCUAGCGGCAGAGAUACACAAUGACAUCAAGGCAGCUAUUUCUGAGUCGGCGGCCGACCCCAGUAGAUAUGCUGCACCAAGCCUAGUGCUCCAAUAUGCCUAGCGUGUUCACAACCAGAUACGACAUAACACUGUGUUAGCCCUUUGUUGAUGGUGGAAGGCGGAUGCUGAUUCAGCAGUCAUUCACUUAAAAGAACAUAGAGAACACACCACAUAAGUGCCAUAUUCUGCACCAAGUGACCCAUGCUCGCCCGUUCAUGGAAAAAGCUCUCCCCCAACUGCAUGAGGAGAUUGUUAGAACCCAUCUCUGAUUUUUACGUGGUUUUAAUAUUAAAAGAGUGAAAUAACCAAAAUGCCUCUAGAAGUGAGGAUUUUGACUUUCAUUAACCCUCGGAGCAUUACACGUAUGAAGCAUUCUCUUAGCAUAUUUUCAUAGUACUCAACGAUACGAGCGAAACUCAGAAUGUCAAGGGUGAUUUGGUAAUUUCACGUUCCUCGAAGAUAUUUUUUGUUUUGUCCUUUGGUGGCAAUGAAGUGUGUGCUAGGUGGGGCCCACACCCCACUCCACCUCUCCCUCUUGUCUCUCCCGUGUCUCCCCAUCUCUCAAAUCCCUCUCCUAUCUCUCUCAUUUUCCCUAUCCACCUUACGUCGCUCCCUCGAACUUUCUCCCUACUUUUAGAGCACCAACAUGCCUCGCCAAUGCUAGCGAGUUUCACCACCGCGAAACCAUGCUCACAAACCAUAACCCCCCCCCUUGAUGAGCUCCAUUUAGCUCAGAAGUGAAAAUCACGGUUUAGACACUGAAUGAGAAAACACGACUUUGGUUUUGAAUAUGGAAGUUUUCCAGCAAGGAUCUCAUUAUUUUCAAUGAUGGUAAGUUUGGAAAUCAAGCCAAAUUAAUUUAGGUUGUGAGUAAGAUUUUGGGUUCAUACAUGUGCUUUGGUGAUGAUUUGAUGUAGAAACACCUCGGGGAAGUUUUUCCCAGAUUUUUGGAAAAUCAGAAAUGUGGUUGUCGAGCCACUAUUAGACCUUUUUCAACCAUCUCCAGCCUCCGUUGAGCCUCGAUUUUGAUAUAGACCUAUUCCUUACAAUCCUAACUUCAUUUUGGCAUUUGAAUGAUUGAAUUUGGUUCAAAAUUGAGCUCAAAAUGAGCUCUGAAAGUUGGUAGAAAAACCUUCAAAACUAUAGGGAACUCGCGAGGAAGGCUAAUACUAGCAUGCUCUUGGCUUAUGGGCACGUUGAGGGUUCCUCUGCACUAGUCACGUGCGGCGUGUGGUUGUCUGUGCAGCCACCUUCUGGCGAUACAUGGAAGAACCUGAGGUCCCAGCUUAGCUUUCUCGACGUGCCAAAUUCAAAUUCAUCCUUUGUUUUUUGAAAUUUGAUGGUUUUAAAAUUAGUUCCUUUAUUAGUCGUACUUUGUAUGCGAAUUUACUUUUGUUCAUUAUAUAUUUACAUAAAUGGUUUUGUUUCUAGGUGAAAUGCAUCACAAGGAUCUUUGAUGCCUACGAGGCGGGUUUGACCCAAUGACAUGAUUUAUGAGUGGGCCUUUGCCUUUAAAUAUUAUAUAUUUAUUUAGUUUCCACAUAUAUAUUUUAUAAAGAAUUUUCUACAUAUGCCUAGAUUGGACUAAAGUUUGUAAGAAUUAGCGAAAUGAUGGAAUUUACAAAAUUUUACUAAAUCCUACAAGAUACUUAGGUAUGCGUACUAUUACAGGAUUUUAUUUACGGCCAUGAUUAAUAUUUUAUUGAAUAGUAUUUUUUCUACUAGAAUUAUCAAUUUACCAUUGUAUGAUCAUAUUUACGUUAUCUGCUCAUUAUGUGCUACACUGGUGUUAGUACUCACCCGGGCCUGGGCCUUCACGUGUAUUUCAUAUUGCAUCGUACGCUCAUUUUGGAUCCAUUGUAGGUACCAGUCCCAUCAUAGAUUGCUACAGGCAAUUAAGACUCGUAUCUGAUGCGCAUAGCGCCAAUCUUCACAUGAUUGUAGUAGUACUAUAGCGUAAAUCAUUAUUACACUCAGUCUUGUUCAUGCCUAAAUUUCUCCGCAGGAAUUCAUGUGUUAGCAUAUGUUGAUGAGCAUUCAAUAUGAUAAGUUCGUUUAUGUGAGAUAUUGUGAUUAUCUGAUGUCAUAUAUUUUAUAUGCAGAAAUAUUCUGAAUGACUGCAUUUUGAUAUGUUACUGUUUAUGUAAGUAUUUUCAUACUAUAGGUAGUAUGUAUAUUUGGAAACUAUACUUGUUUUACGGCGGGGGUUAUUACAUAUUUGAAAAGGUUUUUACAAAGCUUUAUUUUUUUAGGCCCACUCACCCUUGUUAUUCGCUCCAGGUUUUAGUAGAAAAGUUUUUAUGUCGACAAGGAUUCUUGGCAAAUGUUGGUAUAGGAAAGUACCUUCGAUGAUAUAAUUCUUAUCCUACUUUUACUAUACUUUACUUAUGUUUUGACAUCACGUGUGAAUUGGGUUCAAUCUCGCUCACAUGUACACUCUUGCAUUUAGUCACUUUAGGUUUAAAUUUAUUCAUAUUUUACACGUCACUACACUAUAUGGCUUGGUCACCUUUAUAGUCUCGGCCAACACAGCUCAAUUUGGAGUCUAGGUGGACAUUCCGUAUUGCGGUGUGUCAAUUUGGUAUUAAAGCAUAAGUUUUGGCAGUACUGCAUUCAUCACACAUGUGAUGUAAGCAGUCUCGGUUAUUGAACCUAAUUGUCGAAUAUUGCCACCUCGUGAAACACAAAAAAAUGUAUUAGCUUUUCCUAAGUUUUGGGUGACUUAGACGACUUAUUAACAUACUAGAAGAACAUUUUGGCAACCGCCUCUAGAUUUUAAACAAAGAACCUCCCUGCCAAGGAAAAUUCCGAUUUGGAAAUGAGUUAAUGGCCCUGAAGUAGGGCUAAGGUAUAGAUUGGUGUGUAGCACCAGUGAUAUUACCAAUUAAUCCCACUAUCUUCCCCGUUAUUAUCCAGUCAUUCUACCAACCCUUCUAAGAUAGGAAACCACAAUUAGUUUUGAUCCUUGGCAGUGACUGCUUAGUAAAUCACCUAUUUGAAUUCUUAUGAAGUUUUACUUUUCGUUGAAAUUUUCGAAAAUGUCUCAAGUGACAAUAUGGUGCUAAAUUUUCGAAAAUGUCUCCAGCGAAAAUGUCUCAAGUGACAACAUCUAGGGGAACGGUCACUUUUGGUCCCCAUUAGCACUACUCUUCUCAAAUGCACUAGUUAUAAUUCCAAAUCUUCAGGAGGAAGAUCGAUUUCCUUUAAAGUCCAUUUUGAAGUAAGUUAUUAGAAAAUUCCUUUUCUCGGCCUAUAACACUUCAACCAACAUUAUUUCCCAAAUUUACUUUCAAUGCAGUAUCCAUCAUUACGUUGUGUAUUAGCAUGGGGGUAUAAGUUGUUAAAUGUACAGUUAGUAAAGAUACCAUAAGCAGUAAUUAAUUCUCCCUAGAAUUAGUGAAACUAAAUCACUUGACCAGUUCAUUACUAAUCAACCAAAACUAUCCAUCAGCAGACUCUAACCUGUAAUUAGCCUACGAUGGCCAUACUCAUUGACGAUACGGUCCGAUAUCCAGAAGUUGUUAACCAGUAUUUAGGCGGUAUGAUUUUUGAUACUGGACACAUGCUAGUAUUUAGGAGUGAUACAUUUGUGCCAGAACGUCGAUUCACACUUUCAGGAAGCGAACAAUACCAAAAUAUUAGAAAUGCAUUAAUCAGCAGUACGACUGAUAGACUGAUUAAUAGUGAAAACAUGGGCCGAAGAAAUUACAAUUGUUCAAACUUAGGAGCAAGCCUUGUAGGAAGACAGUAAACUCGUAGAUUUUUUAACCAUAUUACCCAUUUAGUAACCCAAACAUUCUCCACCAAUCAUUAUUGUGGUCACUUCCACCGACAAACAUUAAAAUUGAAGUAUGAGUUAAAUUCCCGCUGUAAGGGCAAAUUAAGGAUCGAGAAAGUUGUGAAGACCUAUUAGUACAUGUACAUAAAGGAAGUAGUAUUGUACGUUUCGAGGACACGUAUCUUUGGCAUCAUUUCUAAAAAUUCUACUUGCGAUACCAUUGAAGCGAGAAGUGGAGUACACCAUCUUUCCACCUUUCUAAUACCACACUUAUUCUCUUUGCAUCAUAUUGAACGACUUCUUCGACAUUGAGGAAACUUAGUUGUAAAAGCUUAUUGAUUAGGAAUUUUCCAACCCAACACUUUAUCUUAGGGAACCUCUAACCUAUUUGCGAAGGCGAAAGACCGAACCUUAAGGUUGUACCUAGAUUCUGGGAACUUAAUCGGGUGAAGAUUAAAAACCGUUAAUCUAUACUUCAAAUUGAUGGUCUCUCCGACCAACUAGCCCGAGUCUUCUUCCAUAGCCUGACGAAUUUGUAGUAGUCUUACCAAUGACUUUCUUACCUACUCUAGUAACGAGAUCAAAUUCUCUAAACACCAACAAUCAGCUUUAUACCAAGUUCUUAAAAUGUUAACUUUGUUUAGAUUAGGUACUUUCCUUGGGAGAUGUGAUUUCAUCAAACGACAUUCUUGUCAACUCCCAAAAGGUUGCAAAUCUAGAAAAAAUUGGAUAUUUCCAUGAGUUGUUGUGAAAUACGAGAUAUCUUUGCCCUUAUCAAUUUUAAUUGGCAAUUUCUUAGCAAUUUUUCAUUUAUAGUGUUUUUUCCUCACAUGUUAAUUGAGGAAAGUUAGUUUAAUUUGAGAUGUUGAAUGUGAAUAAAGUUUUUGACAAUAGAACUGUUGUAUCACUUCACCUUUGUCUUACACCCUUUGAUGACAUUGAUCAUUUCAAAUACUGUGAUGUUCCACCGAAUGAUUUGAUUGCAUGUCGAUGUAGCAUGAUGGAGUAUCACUUAUGCUUCUUGACGGUUUAAACCGUACGUAAUGAACUAUCUUAUUUAUGACUUAGAGUCAACAUUUAUCAUCUUUAUUUGAAAAUCGGAUGACACUUCUUUGUGGAGAAACGUGUCCAAAAUCUUUACCAAUCUCACAAACUUCUCAAAUACAUCUUCAUUUGAAAAGAGCUAAAUUUUUUACAGAUACAAUGGAACAACCAAAUCAAUGUCUACGAUUGCGCCACCGUAUAUAACCCCGGCUAUGCAAAUGUAGUUACUGUUUAACACAACAAAAGAUAUAUGUACUCUUGAACACUUUCAGCUUGUCUUAUUCCAUUUCAAUUGGAAUUCACGAGUAUUAAUGUGACAUUACUUACAAAUCAUCAAGAAAUCAUUCGAAUGGUUAUAAUCACUUCCUGUAUUUGAAUGGAGAUGGGAAAAAUAUCACCCUAAGCUCCCAAUACAAGGUAUCUUGUACAUGUGGAGAUUAUGAUGAUGUUUCGAUGAUUAUCGACCGACUCGACAAGUCAUCUCACUUCCUAUUGGUCCUACAGAGAUUACAUUUUAAACUAGUUGGUAAAAUUUCUCAUUCUUGAAUUUAUUAGAUUUCCUGACUUUUCGAUAAACAUCUACUUCGACUGUGAUUCCAUAUUCACCUCUGGUACUCAAGGCAUUCCAAUCAACCUUAGGUAUGUGUCUACCCUAUUGCACUUAAUAUUAUUUCUAAGGCAAGUAGACUGUCUACAAGAACCAUUGACAUUGAAAUUUUAGUUGUGACCAUUAAUUCUUCUAUCACCCAACAAAUAAUAUGCUGAACGAAUCUUUACCGUUGGUGAUUGAAUAUUUCGGAAGCUACCGUUAUAGCAAGAUGUUAUGCAUUUAAUCCAGUUACCUUGUAUUUGAUGGACUUGUUUGACUCUCAAAUUCUUGAGUGUUCUUUUAGCCUUUUCGAUGUAGUUUUCUCUAAACCUAAAAGAAAUUCAUAAUGAAUCUUCUUGCUGAGGGAUGUGUGAAUCACAAUGUUCAGUUACAUGGUCAGCCAAUCGCUAUUGUAUCUCACUGUGAUGCGUAUUUCAUUUCCAAGUCUCGUGAAGCCAUCUUCAAGGCCAUGGAUACUAAGUUGUUGUCCAAAACCACAUUUCACUCACAUACUAAUGGCCAGUCUGAACAAACUAUCCAUUACUAUUAUAGUUGCAUGUAACCACGGUUAUUAUUACGGUUUUGGGUAUGGCACUAUUUGUGAUGAUGUAUAGAGAAUUCUACGGACAAUACAUGAUAGACAAAUGAGUAUUGCAAAUAGGUAUUCAAAGAAUUGAGAUUACAAUGUAGGAAAUUGUGUGGUACUGACGAUGUCGCCCAUGAAGGUAGUGCAUGAGCACGAUCACGGCGUAAAUCUGAUGACUUAUGGCACAUUUUUCCAAUGAGGGGCAAGAUGGUGAUUUUACACCCUUGGGUAUUGCGGGAUGCAGACGGUAAUAUCGAUGACUUAUUCAUUUCGUUCGUUAAGCAAGUGGACAAGUAGGCCCUUCUACGUUAGUAUUUUUAUAUAUUGUUUGGGAUUGACCCAAAGAUAAUACACACAUAUGCUCGGAGUAUGCAAUGAUACGAAUGCAUAAGUGAAAUUUUUUUUCUAUUUUCAGUUUUAAUUUUAGUACAAUUAUUUUAAUUUUAUGUUAUUAUAUAUAUAUAUAUAUAUAUAUAUAUAUAUAUAUAUAUAUCUGUUGUAGUCUAUUUUUAUCUGACAGAGAGACUAGGGCCGGCGGCAGAGAGAGAGGAGAGGGAUGUGUGUUUGUAGAAUUGUAGGGGAAUGUAUGUGUUGUUAUCCCUCCUACAUUGUGCCUUUAUUUAUAGUACUAAAAGGGAGAGAAGAUAUUCCUUCUCCUCCAAGUAAUACAAGUUGUAAUAGGAAAGGAUAACUAGAAUCAAAUCUAAUCUAGGAUUUACACAAUCACACUUAUUCUAGGAAUGUUUACAACACUCCCCCUUGAGUGUGCAAAUACUUAAGGUAGAUUCAGCAUCAUGCAGAAGUUGAGGAAGUCGACUCGUCGGCAUUGAUUCAAAGGAACAACGCUUAUUUUCAAUAAGGUAGGAACUUGCAUAAGCAGUAAGUCUCACUAAAAAACCCUAAGGCUAUGGUAAAAACCCGAGUAGGGACAAAAUCCAUAGUCUAAGGAAAAAUGCGUGAAAAAUGCAAAGUCAAAAGAAACGUCUACAGGAUGUCAUCAGGGAUAUGACCAGCCCAAGGUGGGUGCCUCGUUAAAACCUAGUUAGGUAGCAAAAACCCAGUGGGAAAAAUGCUCCUAAUCGUAGGGAAAAAGAGUACAUUAAGAUCAAGCAAGUAUCCAGAAGAUACUCCCCUUGAGUUUGACAUAAUUCCAAAGAGAAAUAGCAAAGUUACAACUCAGAAAGUUUACGCAUACCAAUUCCAUGAACAAGCUUCUGAAACGUUGCCUUCGGUAGUGAUUUGGUGAAGAGGUCGACCAGAUUGUCUUGUGAUUGGAUUUGCGUCACUUCAAUCUUCUGAUGCUCUUGUUGUUGAUGUGUAAAGAAGAACUUCCGCGCAAUAUGCUUGGUGUUGUCUCCUUUGAUGUAACCCUUCUUGAGCUAUUCGAUGCAAGCUGCAUUGUCUUAAAAAAUCGUCGUCGGGGCAUUAACGGCGGGAUGAAGAUCACAGGAGCUUCGAAUAUGGCCCAUUACUGCUCUCAACCAAAAGCAUUCCCGAGUUGCUUCAUGUAAGGCGAGAAUUUCAGCAUGGUUAGACGAAGUGGCAACUAAGGUCUGUUUAGUUGACCUCCAAGAUAUUGCGGUGCCUCCAACGGUAAAGACAUAACUUGUUUGAGAACGCGCCUUGUACGGAUCAGAUAAGUAUCCAGCGUCGGCAUAACCAACAAGGCGAGAAUCAACCCGAUGAGCAUAGGGUGCGGCAUCACUCGAGGAUUCGUAGGGAUAGAAUAAGCCCAAAUCUGUAGUACCCUUAAGGUAACGGAAGAUGUCUUUCACGCCAGUCCAAUGUCUGCGUGUUGGUGUAUUGCUGUAUCUUGCCAAAAGAUUAACAGCGAAGGAGAUGUCGGGUCUAGUGCAUUGAGCUAAGUACAAUAAAGCGCCUAUCGCACUUAGAUAAGGAACUUCAGGUUCCAGAAUCUCUUCAUCAUCCUCCUUCGGACGGAAAGGAUCUAGCUUUGCAUGUAGCGUACGAACGACCAUAAGAGUACUCGAAGACUUCGCUUUAUCCUCAUUAAAACGGCGCAGCCCCUUCUGGGUGUAGUUCAAUUGAUGUACUAAGAUUCCAUCCGAACAAUGCUCUAUCUCGAGACCAAGACAGUAUCGAGUCUUACCUAGAUCUUUCAUCUCAAAUUCCGACUUCAGGUGCGAAGCAGUUCUCGCAAGCUCUUCAGGAGUUCCGAUGAGAUUCAUGUCAUCGACAUAUACUGCAACAAUCGCAAAUCCGGAAUGUGACUUCUUAAUGAACACACAAGGGCAUAGUUCGUUGUUCACAUAUCCCUGACUAGUCAAAUACUCACUCAGACGGUUAUACCACAUUCUUUUGGAUUGUUUCAAACCGUACAGUGAACGUCUCAGCCGAAUUGAGAGCGUGUUUCGGGGUUUGGAAAUAUUUGAACCAGUCAAUGUAAGUCCUUCGGGAACUUUCAUAUAAAUUUCCGUAUCAAGAUCCCCAUAGAGAUACACGGUUACUACGUCCAUCAGCUGCAUAUCCAGUUUUUCAGAAACUACCAAACUGAUAAGGUAUCGAAAAGUAAUCACAUCCAUAACGAGUGAGUAAGUUUCGUCAUAGUCAAUCCCGGGGCGUUGUGAGAAACCUUGUGUUACAAGACGAGCUUUGUAACGCACAAUUUAGUUCUUCUCAUUACGCUUCCGAACGAAAACCCACUUGUAGCCAACGGGCUUCACAUGUGGAGGAGUAGGAACUACAGGUCCAAACACCUUACGUUUCGCAAGUGAAUCAAGUUCGACUUGGAUUGCUUGUUUCCAGUUUGACCAAUCAGCUCUACGUCGACAUUCAUCAACGGAACGCGGUUCAAUGUCAUCGCUCAACAUGAUCUCAGUAGCUACUGCAAAUGCUAAUGCAUCAUCGACAAUCAUCUCAUUUCUACGCGACACAUCAUCUAAGCUAGCAUAAUAGACCGAAAUCUCACGAUUCUCGGGAGGAGGAUUCGUCUCUUCAAGGACGCUUCAAUAAUCUAGAAUUUCCUUAUGAGUUAGGAAAAAUAAGUAAGCGAUAGUUGGAUUCACGGUAGGUUCUUCGAGACCUUGUGCCGUGGUUUUCCUCUUUCGGGGGUGUGAAUCCUUUGAACCAAGGGGUCUGCCACGCUUUUGUGUAGGGGCAGAGGAUUGGCUAGCCGCUAAUGUACGUGGAUCACCAGAAUUGGCGUCCCGGGCUUCCAGGAGGGUAGUCCGUCGUACAUUUGGUACAUCUAUCUUUGCAGGCGUAUUCGCAGGUGGAAUAUGUGAUCUUGUCACGCGCGCUAGAUCAGUGAAAGCAUCUGGCAUACUUUAAGCUAUGCUCUGGAGAUCUAAUAUGCGCUGCACUUCAACUUCAGACUGAGCGGUGCGGGGAUCUAAAUGAAACAAAGUGGGAGUCGUCCACGAUAAUUCGCGUCGUUCAUUAGGAACAUUGACGUUCUUAUCUCCCCCUAACGACGGGAAGACUGUCUCAUAGAAGUGACAAUCCACGAAACGAGCGGUAAACAGAUCGCCUGUCAAAGGUUCUAAGUAACGAAUAAUCGAAGGAGAAUCAUAUCUGACAUAGAUUCCCAUCCUUCGCUGAGGCCCCAUUUUUAUACGUAAGGGCGGCGAGAUCGGCACAUAGACCGCAUAACCAAAAAUGUGCAGAUGCGAUAUGUCGGGUUCACAUCCGGUGACCAACUGAAGGGCACUAAAUGGUUGUGUCGCAACAGGCCUCAGGCAGACCAACUUUGCUGUGUGCAAUAUUGCAUGGCCCCAAGCAGCGAUCGGGAGCUUGGUACGUAUGACCAACGAUCAAGCAAUCAUUUGUAAACGCUUAAUGAAAGCCUCUGCCAGGCCGUUCUGGGUGUGAACAUGGGGUACAGGAUGUUCAACUUCAACCCCAACCGACAUGCAAUAGUCAUCAAAAGUUUUAGAUGUGAAUUCUCCAGCAUUAUCCAAUCAAAUAGAUUUGAUCGAAUAAUCAGGGUGGUGAGCCCUGAGCUUGAUAACCUGAGCCAAUAGUUUGGAGAAUGCAGCGUUCCUUGUGGACAACAAGCACACAUGUGACCAACGUGUAGAAGCGUCAACCAAAACCAUAAAAUAUCUAAAUAGUCCGCAGGGAGGUUGAAUCGGUCCACAAAUGUCCCCCUGAAUCCGUUGUAGAAAAAUGGAAGGAUUCGAACGAAUCUUGUCAUAAGAAGGCUUAGUAAUAAGCUUUCCCAUAGAACAUGUUUGACAUGCAAUUUCAUGGAUCGAACCUAAGCUUCGGGUUAGUGGAUGCCCGUGUGAAGUUUUGAGGAUACGGUGCAUCGCUAUUCGUCCAGGAUGUCCCAAACGAUCAUGCCAAAGUGUAAUUUCGUGCGCGGUCCCUGUGGUAGGGCCAGCCACAUAGUGGCAUUCUAUGGGGCGUAUGGUCGUAGUAUACAGACCACUCGGGUUACGCUCCAUCUUCUCUAGAAUACGCUUCUGGCCAUAUUUGUAGGAAGUUACGCACAGGAAUUCAACUCCGUUUUCUACGUGGGUUUCAGCGUGGUAAUGGUUAUCUCUAAUGUCCUUGAAACUUAGUAACGUUCUUCCGGAACGUGGAGAAUAGAGUGCCUUAGCAAUGGUCAAGAUUGUACCAUUGGACAACAUUAUACGUGCCUUAUCGUAUCCUUCGAUCAGGUUGGAUGGGCCUGAGAGGGUUGUCAGAGGUGCAUUCUUACAGUAUGCGUGGUUGCACUAUCUGCCAAACAACUAACUUUCCCACUAGUCAUACCUAGAAUGAAAAAUUAAUUUGAAUCGGUCACAUGCAUAAAAGUUUAUAAAAACAAGUAUCAAUUCAAAAUAAUUUCAUUUAUUAAAAAAAAGCUUAAUAUCCAAAAUAAAUUGCCAACUAAUAAUCCAAAACAUAAAGGAAAAUUGUUCAAAAUCAACCAAAAAAUAAGGUGGGGUUCAGCCACUAGGUGGAAUUCGGCCCCAAUUGUCUUAUUUUAACUGAAAGAUAAGUCUAUGCCUAAGAUUCUAAUCUUCCAUAGGAGUGGUAUCCUCCUGAAAGACAGAAACCUCCAUCUUUGUAGUCUCCGGUUCGUCCACUUGCAUGAAGUUUGAUUCAAACUUCUUACGACGAGAAUGAUAUUCAUCUACAACCUUCUUGGGAGCACGGCAAACACUGGACCAAUGGUCCUUUAAACCACAACGAUAGUACAUAUCGUCAUUCAUUGUGGCAGGUGCUUUGCCCUUAUUCUUGAAGUUCGGGGCCUUGGGAGCGAGGUUUGGGCGCUUUGGGGCUUUGUUUCCUCCCUUGGAUGGGCCUUGGCUCUGUUGACCUUGGUGGGAUGGCUUCUGGCCGCCCUUACCACGCCUCUUUUGGCAUUUUGGGUGCUGAUGAGUGCUAUAAUGUGCUUCAGGCACAGCAGUAGCCUCAGUAGGUCGAGCUUGAUGAUUCUUCAUCAACAGCUGGUUCUGCUUUUCAGCAAGAAGUAAAACAGAGAUCAAAUCCGAGAACCGAGUGAACUUCUGAGCUCUAUAUUGUUACUGCAGGACAAUAUUAGAAGCAGAGAAGGUCGAGUAGGUCUUCUCCAAAAGAUCCUUUUCAGUCAAAGUUUCAUUGCAAAACUUGAGAAGUGAUCGGAUUCGACAAACUUCAUAAUUAUAUUCACUCACAAACUUAAAGUCUUGGAAGCGCAAGUGCUGCCAGUCGUGUCUUGCUUCAGGCAAGAAUAUGUCUUUUUGGUGAUCGAAACGAUCAGCCAAAGCGACCCAUAAUGCACGUGGAUCCUCCUCAGCAAGGUACUCAGUUUGCAGAGCGUCAUGAAUAUGUCUUCGGAUGAAGAUCAUAGCAGUGGCUUUUUCAGCUUCGCCAACAGGUUUAUCUGUUGCUUCUUCAAUAGCAUGACGCAAGUUCUUUGCAGUGAGAUGGAGCUUCACAUCUUAAACCCACUUGAGGUAGUUCCUCCGAGAGACCUCCAAAGCGGUGAAGUCGAGUUUGUUCAAAUUCGACAUGUUCCUAUCACAAAAUAGAUGGACAAGAUGUGGUUAGUGUAAUGGAGAAAAAUCAAUCCAUUCACAUAGGAGUAGAACAUAUAGGUUCUAAUAGACAUGUAUUGGUUUAAUUUCGCAUAAAAAACUUCGGGUUUCAUGGGUGAUAUGUUUAAGUGAAAACUUCAGGUUUUCAAACAAGGCAUGUUUAUAAGAAACUUCGGGUUUCAAAGUAAUUAUGAACUUCAAGUUCAUAUAUUCCUGCAGGCAAACACAAAUAUAUAUGCAAACAAAUAUGCAACAGAUAUAUACAAAAAUAUUGUAUAAUUAUAAUUAUAAUUGAACUAAUUUAUUUGGUCUUCGGGGCCAAAUUAAAAUGUGGGUGAAAAAAUAAAAACCCAUAUUAUUUAAAAGUAUUAAAUAAUAAAAUCUCGGGGCCUAAAAAUAUAGGCGAAGAAUUAAUUUGCGGUCCAAAAGAAAAUAUGAAGCCAUGGGUGGCUUGAAAAAUUUGGUCCGUGAGACCUAGGCCCAAAAAUUGGAUUGGGUAGGGUCUCGGGUGUAGGAUGCAGGCCUACGGGGUAGACUGGGCUGCGUUAAGCAGCCAAAAAAAAUAAAAAAAAUUUCCGCAGGCCGCUUCAGGCUGGUCCAAAAAACAAAAAGAUUUUUUCUUUUUCUUUCGGUCUGGGCCGUUGCAGGCAAGCCCAAAGGAAAAAAAAUUGUGUUUUUCUUUGUACUGGUUGGGCCGUGACAUCUCAAAGCAUCAGCAAGCCCAAAGGCGCUGAUGCAGGCCGAGGGACAGAAGCCCAUUAGGGCUCGGGUUACAGGAUAAAACAAACCCAUCAACGCUGGGUAUGUAUGGCCGAGGAAGAAGGCCGGAGUCAGUCGACGGUGUCGCUGCAGGCGACGUUUCCAAGGUCGGGACAAGGUGCUUCAAACGCACCUUGGUGUCCAAUGCUUGCGAGUGUGAAAAACCAUAGUGGAUUUCGAAUUGAAAUCGCGGAAAACCUAAUGAAAUUUCAUACAAAUUAGAUGAAAUUCUUCAGGAAUUUCAGUGAGAUUGGAUUGAAUAUCACGACACCAUGUCGGAUUUUCUGGGUUUGGGACGCCAUAGGCUUCAAGUUUCCAAUGGGGGUCACGGGUUUGGACGAGGAGCAGACACUCCAGCCGUGGUUUUGGGUUGGGCUAUCGCAGGUUGUGGGCCUGGUGACUUGCGGCUUGCAUGGUGCAAGUGCACGGGUUCAACUUAGAACCCUAAUUCCCAAAUCGCAAAAAAAAAAAAUAUUUUUUUUUUCAAUUCAAAUAUAAUUAUAUGCAUGUAAAAUUCAAUGAAUCACAUAUUUACGUUGAUGCAUAUGCAAAUAAUAGUUUCAAUGCAUGUACAUAUGUAAGAUUCAGUUCAUGACAAAUAUCAAAUUCACAUAAUUGUAGCAAUUUUGGUGAUGAAGCAUAGACAAUUUAUGUAGAAUCUAAAAUACGUUAAACGUAAAGUUGGGUCAUGCAUCAUGGUGAAUGUUCAUGCUAUCAGGGCUUGCAAAAUAUCGCGUUAAAAACCAUUGUUUGGAAAGAACCUGAUUUUGUGAUGAUAUGGAUGAACUGGUUUGAUGUAGAAAAAAAAUCUCCAACGUCAGAUUCCUAAGCGCAGCGGUAGGAGCGUGCUGAUAACGUGUUGUAGUCUAUUUUUAUCUGACAGAGAGACUAGGGCCGGCGGCAGAGAGAGAGAGGAGAGGGAUGUGUGUUUGUAGAAUUGUAAGGGAAUGUAUGUGUUGUUAUCCCUCCUACAUUGUGCCUUUAUUUAUAGUAGUAAAAGGGAGAGAAUAUAUUCCUUCUCCUCCAAGUAAUACAAGUUGUAAUAGGAAGGGAUAACUAGAAUCAAAUCUAAUCUAGGAUUUACACAAUCACACUUAUUCUAGGAAUGUUUACAACAAUAUCUAUUUUUAACUUUAUAUUUUUAUAAAGAUAUUAUGUCAUAGUAUUGUACUGACAGACAAGGAAAUUUGAGUUUUGAGGCAUGACAGAUGAAUCAUUGCAAUCCGUUCGUGACGGAAUGACAUUCUCUUUUAUGCAACCGCUCUAACUUGAUCUCUUAUUUAUAUGUAUUUCUUCCUCUUUCUUGACUAUUUUAUGUUCCUUACAUUCCUAACUUCACUUUAUCUUUUGAAUCAUUGAAUUUGGUUGAAAAUCGAGCUCGAAAUUAGCUCCGAAAGUCGGGGGAAAAACUUGCAAAAAUGCAGGAACUCACGAGGAAGGUGAGUACUAGCGUACUCAUGGGUGCGUGGGGAUUCUCCUGACCUUGGUGCCUACGGUGCUUGGUUGCCUGUGCGGCCACCUUGUGGCAGCGCAUAGAGGAAACUGAGGUCCCACCUUAGGUUUCUCAACGUUCCAAAUCAAAAUCCGCCCUCCAUUUUCAAAAUUCGAUCAUUUUAAAAUAGUUCCUUUACUAGCCGUACUUUGUACAAAUAUGCGAAUUUAUGUUAGUUCAUUAUAUAUUUUCGUAAAUGGUUUCGUUUCUAGGUGAAACGCAUCACAAGGAUCUUCGAUGUCUCUGAGGUGGGUUCGACCCAAUGACAUGAUUUGUCAGUGGGUCUUUGCUUUUAAAUAUUAUAUAUUUAUUUAGUUUCCACAUAUACAUUUUAUAAAGAAUUUUUGACAUAUGCAUAGAUAAGACUAAUGUUUAUAAGAAUUAGCGAAAUGAUGGAAUUUACGAAAUUUUGCUAAAUCCUACGGGAUGCACAGGUAUGCAUACUAUUAUGGGAUUUUAUUUAUGGCCAUGAUUAAUAUUUUAUUGGAUAGUAUUUUGUCGACUAGAAUUAUCGAUUUACCGUUGUAUGAUCAUAUUUACUUUAUUUGCUCAUCGUGUGCUAUACUGAUGUCAGUACUCACUCGGGCUAGAGCCAGUCUUCACAUGUAUUUCAUAAUACACUGUACACCCACUUUGGAUCCAUUGUAGGUGCCAGUCCUAUCUUAGAUUGCUAUAUGCAAUUAGGAUUCGUAUCUGACGUGCAUAGCACCAGUAGUCACGUGAUUGUAGUACUAGAGCGUAAAUCAUUACUACAUCCAGUCUUGUCCAUGCAAGAAUGUUUUUGCAUAAACUCGUGUGUCAGCAUAUGUCAAUGAGCAUUUGAUAUGGUAUGUUCGUUUAUGCGAGAUAUUGUGAUUACUGGAUGUCAUAUGUUUUAUAUGCGGAAAUAUUUUGAAUGAUUGUAUUUUGAGAUGUUACUGUUUAUGAUAAGUAUGUUCAUACUAUACAUAGUAUGUUGUAUUAGGAAACUAUACUUGUUUUACGGCGAAGGGUUAUUACAUUUUUAAAAGGUUUACAAAGCUUUAUUUUUUUAGGCCCACUCACCCUUGUUUUUCGCCCCUCCACGUUUUAUUAGCAAUGUUUUUUUGUCGACGAGGAUUAUUGGCAAAUGUUGGUAUAAGAGAGUACCUUCGAUGGUAUAAUUCUUGUUCUACUUUACUUAUGCUCACAUGUGCAUAUGAGCACUCUUGCAUUUAGUCACUUUUAUGUUUAAAAUUAUUCAUAUUUUCUAAGUCACUACACUAUAUGACUUCGUCACCUUAUGGUGUUGGCCAACAUAGCUCAAUUCGGAGUCCAGUUGGACAUUCCGGGUCGGGGUGUGUCGAGAUGAUGAGAGAUAUUUCAUUAAGUGUGAAAUUUUUUUAAUUCCUUUUUUUUUCACUUUACCUUAUUUAAUGUAUUUUUUAAACUAAUAUACUUGCUUUUUUUUGUCUAUUUCAAACCAACUUCUCCAUCGAAAUGCAACACCUCAGGUACAAAAGAGUACCUAAAUCUGAUAUGGACUGAGCGGUACAAGGAGUGAAAGUAAGAGUUGUACAUGUACUACAAGAGUUGUGCAACUCCUACUGAAGGUCAUAUCGAUCAACUUGUGGAGAGGAUUCCACUAAAAGUGGUUGUGCAGUCAUUUUUAGAUCCCAGACUUUCUAGUAAGCUUUUUAUUUUUUUAUUUUUUUAUUUUUUUAUUUUUUAUUUUUUAUUUAAUUCCAAUAUUCUGUUUGUAUAUAAUUCUUUCUAUUAAUUAUUAUUUUUUAAUUUACAGUGAAAAUCGUCAGCAAAUAAGCCUAACCAGGAAGCAAACUUAUACCUUCAUCACUUUGGUCCUUGGCCCUUCUUUUUGCAGGUUGAGGAAUGACGUGAUAAGGGUUCAUUUUUCUCGAAAGUCAAGGCUUGGGCGAUAUGCAUGCCAAUUAUGGCAACCAAGUUAGACCUGGUAUUCGUGCUGUGUUUCCCGUGUUCGUGUCAUUUUCGUGUCAUACCUGAUAUCUUAACGGGUCAUGUCGUAUAACACCCGUUAAGGAAAAUAUAUUUUAAACCAAUAAAUAAUCAAAUAAAAAACAUAAUACUUUUUUUUAGUGAAAAAAAGGUUGCACGCCCAGUGGGACUCGAACCCACAAUUGCUUGAUUAGAACCAAAACACAAAUCAACCUUCUAGCCGUGCAAGAAUGGUACUACAGGCCACUGACGAAGACUACUCUUGCUAUGUGACAUGCCUAUAGGCACUAACAAUACAGAAGAUUAGACGAGACUGUAUGCAAGGGAUCCCACCUUAUUGUGAGUAUGAUGCCAUAUACAAUGGACAUAACCUAGACUUUCUAGAGUCGAUAGCUAAAAACCAGAAUCCCCCUAUCAGUUAACAAGUCAUAUAAUCCAAACUUAAAUCAUUGCAUGUUGGAACUAAUCAAAGAUAGUCAGAUUUUAAAAACAAAACAUGGGUUUUUUUUUUUCAAGAAAUGAAAAUUCGUAAUUUCGAAUGAAAAAGAAGAAACAACACAUAAGAUUUAUGAAGAUACAACAUUAAUCAAAUGAAAAGAACACAAAAAAUGUGUGUAUGUAUAGUGAUAUAAAAAUACCCAAAUAUGUAUAUCAGAGUAGAAAGAGUGAAGAGAGAGAAAGGUUGAAGAGGGAGAAAUACUUGCGUAGAGAAAUAAAGAGGAAGUGGUUGUACGAAUGGAGGAAGAGAAGAUCAUGGUUGUCGGAUUAAAGCUUUUCGGAAGAAAAACAACGGGAGAGAGGGGCUAGGAAAAACAGACGGCACCACGGCGGGUCGGGAGAGAGGGUUACGGGAGUGGGGAGAAAUAAGGGGAUUAGAGGGCUAGACUAGCUUUUGUUUUGAUCAGAUUAGUCAGAUGGAAAAAAUUGGAAAAUAAUGGAAAAUAUAAGGGUUUUUUGUGUCCAAAAAAGUUCUAAUAAUAUAAGUGAAAUAGAAUCCAACAGUACAGAUUUACUCUCAUUUAUCUUACGACUAUUAUUUAAGUAAAGUCUUUAAUAGUUUUUUAAUUAAUAUAGAAGUAUAAAAAAUAUAGAAAAUAUAUAUAAACGCUCGUAAUAACAAGUUUUACAACUUUCAUGAAGAACUUAACCGUUGAUUGUUGUUUACAUUUACGCUUCAUUUUUCUCAUCAAAUUUUUUUUUUUUCAAAUUUUCUUUUUUGAAAACAUGAUCUAUUGGAGGAUGCAAGAAGAUGAACAGUUGUUGAUAUUAUUUUCAGAGUUUUACUGUUAAUGAAAAUAUUGCUUGAUGUUUAUAAAGUUUCUACAAACUAUAUGACAACGACUCAUUUUAGUUAACCGUAAAUAUCGAAAUGUGAUAUCAAAGAUCUGAACCGUUCAUCUUCUUACAUCCGCCAAAUGAUCAUGUUUUCAAAAAAGAAAAUUUAAAAAAUGAAAUUCAGUAACAAAAAUAAAGCGUAAAUGACAAUUGACAGUUAAAUAUAAAUUUAAGGUUUAUGGAUUAUAGUGUUGAAUUUCGAAGCUAACCCCUUUAUGAAAGUUGUAAAGCUUGUCAUAGUGAUUGUAUAUUUUUUUUACAUUUUUUACACUUCUACAAUAAUAAUUAUUAAUUUUAUUAAUUUUUCCCUCAAAUAAAAAACAUUAUUCAUGAGGGUUUGAAGGAUUUUAAAAAUCUAAACGAUAAUGUAAGUGUAACCAUUAUCUACUCAUAGAGGAAUAAAAUUGAAUCAUAAGUGUUUAUAUAUUCUUUCUCAUUUUUCAUCUUGUAUGUAUGUCUUCUUAGUUCUUGCCUAUACAAAUACUACACAAAUUUAUUUUAAUUUUGGACAACAACAUGUUAAGUAAAAUUUAUUAUCCUAGUAAUGAUAAUAAGGAACUCUCAUAAUAAAAAUAAAUAAUGAUUAAAACAUUUUUUUUAACUUAUAUAGAAUAAUAAUACAAAACUAUAUAUUUAAUAUAGAAUAUAUUGUAUAUAUUAAUAUGGCUAUUGUAUUUUAUAAUAAAUCUUUUAGUAAUUAAACUUUAAAAUUAUCAAAAUAAUUCUUUUCUUAACGGGUCAAAACGGGUUACCCACUUGUUACCCGCGUGUAUACCCGUUAAGAACCCGUUAUUAACGAAUUCUUAACGGGUCACCCGAUAAUGACUCGAUAGGUUAUCGUGUUGACCUGAAACCUGUUAUUUUCGUGUUGUGUUAUCGUGUCGUGUCAGAAAUUGCCGAGUUUAAACCAAGUGACUGACACACCAACCUUUACCAACAUCAACUAGACACACCAAUAGAGGAACUAACACCUAAUACAAAGGUGUCUCUACAGUUGUUGAUGGACGGAAUUGGGUGAUGUAAAGGAAAAACUACGCGAAACUACGCGGCUAAGUACCUCGAGGGAAGCGGGACACCUUCCAAGUUGCAACAAUUGGAGAUUGAGCUAGCGAACCUGUGACAACAAUAAAAAAAAUGGGAAAGAAGUGUGACAUCCCGUCACGAAUUUUAUUGUAUUUUAUUCCUUGACACUGGGAAAUUAAGAAAAUGCCUAUGGCAAGCUUAGUGGACAUCUGAGUCCAUUUAUUUUAGUAUUUUCUUGAUUAGGCCUAGCGCCUAAUUAACUUAUUAUUUGGGCCUGACCCAAACACACACACAUACAUGUUCUUGUAGUACUCGACGACAAAAGACAUAGGUGCAAGCAGAACGGAAUUUGGAAUUCAAGCGAAGAAUCUACCAAACUACAAAGUUCAUGGGCAUUUUAAUAAUUUCAAGCUUCAACAUAUUUUUCCUAUCUAAUUUUAUUAUUUUAGUCUACUUGGGUAUUAGGUCCAGUGAAAUCCACGCGCUCACACUCUAUCUCAUUGACUCUUUCUCGUCCUUUCUCACUCAUUUCUCUUUUCACUUUUCUUUUUCUGUCUCUCACUUCUCCUUUAUCUCUCCCUCUUCUCUAUGUGAAAACCACAGAAAGCGAGCUGCCUUCAUCAAAAGGCUGCCACCUCCAAUAGCAACCACCUUUCUUCUUUCGCCCAAACACAGAACAGAAGCCCUCCGUAGCCAAACCCAGUGUGUUCGAGUUGCAAAAACCCCAAGCUGUUGGCAAACUUUCAGAGGACCCCAAAGCAAAACACAAAUCUCUUAAUAAUUACAGGCUCUUUCACCUCAAAAUCCCUUAGAAAUAAAUGGAAACCAAAUCCGUCAAAAACAAGGCAAGCUUCAAAGUUUUGCAUAACCUUUCCAAAUCAGGAAAAUCAAAUCCCUACGGGUGCAUCCCUUUGGUAUUUUCAUAUACUUUUUAUGUAUAUAUGUUUGGAUGUUUUAAUAUGGAGCGGCUUGGAGCACUAAAUAUUGAAAAAUAGGAGCUAUUUGGAGUAAGCAACAGCGUAAAAAUGACCCCAAGAGCAGACUUUCAAGUAGAAGAAAGGCAAGGUUUCAAUCAAAUAUACUAAAAAAUUGGCAGCCAAAGGAUUUGGCCAAAGUUUGGGAGUUUAAUAAAGAUUUUAAGUUGCCUUGGGCAAUGCGCAGGCAAAUGAACAUUGUGUCGAGAUUAAUCGUGUGUUUUCUUGAGGCCGGGUAGUACUGUCUACACUAAGGGCGCAGACCUUGACAUUUCCCUCGUAAUCGUCCCUAAAAGCGUGGGCCGGCAGACGGUUUUUAUGAAUUUUAUUAAAAAAUAAGUUUGAGUGUGCGCAAUGUGGAUGGCCAUAUUAAAGGAAAUUGAAUGGAUGGCUCAAUGAAGGAAGGAAAAAAAAAAAAAGAUGAAGGAAGUGUUGUGGUGAUGUGUGUGUGCGUUGAUUGGUGGAGAAAAGAAGAAAGAGGAUGGAAAAACUGCCCAACAGACCAGGAAGAAGAAGACAUUUCGGGAGAGUUUUCGGGAGAGAAGCUCGGCGAAUGGGGAGAAGAGAGAGAGAAUUUUCUGCAAUCAGAGAAGGGGAAAGGAGGAAAGGAGAGAGGGUGAGAAAGCGGAGGAAGUAGAAAAGAAGGGUUCAACCGCAACCAAGCAACCCGAUGGUUUUCCCACCUGUUUCCGUCAAAAAUUCUUAUUCGGUUUUGAUUUACUUCAAACCAAUCACUUGGAAAACCCUGCUAUGAUCUUCCCCUUUCUAUUACACAAAAAUUCGAAUAGGCUUGAAAUUGGAUGAAACCGUACGUGUGUGGUGGCUUAGUGGUAACAAAAUCUUCAUUUAAACGUUUUCAUUCCUUUCACCUUACUAAAUCCCAGCAAAGGAUAGGGAGCAACAUUAGUUUGGGUUUGGAGGUUCGAAUUGAAAACCCCAUUUCUAGGGUUUUCAUGGGUUUGAUGAAAUUGGAGUCUUUAAGCCAAAUUAAGCCUUCGCCACAGGUAUAAAGUUUACUCUACUUGAAUCUCCAUUUUUAUAAAUUUUGGUAAAUUUUUAGAAAAUAGUUGGAUUUUCCGGUGAGCUGGGACGGCCGACCGCCACCCACGGCGGCGCGUGGUCAUGAGAGGAAAAAAUUUGGCUAGCUAAGAACAAGUAGGCAUGAAUCCAAAAACAAUGCAUAAAACCAUGGACUUUUCAAGCCUAGUAUAUGUGAACCAAAAUAAACUCUUUACUACAUUAAGAGAAGUAAAGAUUUAGUGAUUCUUUACCCUUGAAGCUCAUCCUUGAUUACACAAGGGAUCACCCAAGUGGAGGGCCUUCAGUCACCUCCAGCUUCUUGAAUCCUCCUUGUGUUUUCCUCCCUUUAGUGCUUCCUUUGAUGAUUUGAGGAAAAAAGAUUGUUCUCCAAAACACCAAAAGCUUGAUGUCUCUAGUCUCUUCACCAAGGUUGUAUCUUGUGAAGAUGAUAUGGAUGACAAGGAAAGAAGAGAUUGCUAGAUGUCCUCCCCUUAGUGGCCCCCUCCUUAAAAAAUGGAAGAAAAUGUUUUCACCCAAUUUCAACAAGAAGAACCCUAAUUAGAAAAUAGCUAUAAAGUUUGCUUUUACUUUUCUUUGGUGAGUGGCAAACUUUAAUUAAGGCAAACUUUGCCAUACACCCUAAAGGCCCCGCCUUUGUUAUUCGGCUAAUUUGCCCAUUUUGUUUUAGUUGUCAUACACUUAAACAUAAGGGCCUUGUGGACCAAAACGCUUUUGGCCGGUCCCAAAACCAACAUAUAAGCCCAAUACGGAACCUCGGGUAUAAUUAAUUAACUAAUUAAUAAUCUUUACAUUCUUCAAUUAAACCAUUUAAAUUGCUUAUCCAUUUCAUUGAUUUCUUCACAUCAUCCUUAAUCGGUGUACGAUCCAUUAGGUUUCAUUAGCGAGGCAGUGGGCGAUGUUUCUUAACGAUCGAUUGUGAAUUGAAAACCAACAUUUCAAUUUUCCUUUUGUUGAUAGUGUUUGCUAACCAUUAGGGCUUCCACAAACCAUGAGUGACGCCUAGCAGCAAUAUCAUGGUUACCCAAGCAAGUAAGAAUUGGUUGGAGAACCUAUCCAGUACAACUACAAUGCAAAUACGGUCCUUCUCUAAACAAUACUCUUUAAUCACAUUGUUUAAGUGAUAGUUUGUUUCAAUGUCUACUAUCCAAUGUGAUACUUUCCUAUAAUGAUCCCUUGAAUAUGAUUUGGAACAAACUUCCUAAGUCAUAUUUUUGCUUUGGCCAAAGACCCUAGAAUCAUAUCUUGAGUAUUCUCCUCCACAUAGAAGGUUAGAGAUCCCUUGUUGUGCAUUCAUAUGCCUACAUGAUUAGAUAGCUUGCCCCAACAAUGCGUGACACUCCAAAGGAAUGCCGUUGACAGGAUCAAAGUCAAGGACCUACCAUUAAGACAUCGAUGAUGUAGUCAAAGGACUUGCAUAUUGCAACUUUAGAGUUCAUACAUGACAUGUAUGUUCGAACUCUCUUUUGAUCGUAGUUCAGUGUACUCGAUACUCUUUCGAAGCACCUAUGUUUGCUUAGUGUCCAACACCAAAUGACUGAGACUAGUCAUAUCACGCUUGAGUCAACACAACACAUACUAACCUUAGCCGAUUGGUCAAUGCCAAUUGGCAAUCCUAGGCUAGGAACGUUUGAAAUGAAACAUAAGAGAAAGGUCUCGAUAAUUAACUUACUUAGAUCAUUUAUCUCUUAGAACAAAUACAUCCUUGGAUCUCUAUUUGUUAAACACGUGAUCAAUAAAUAUGAUAACAAUAAGAUUUGGCCCUUCAUAAAACAUAUAAAAGUUUAAUACAUACAGUAUUCCAAAAGCAUUACAAAAAGAGUGGCUUUGUGGGCAUAACUUCCAACAACUCCACUUGCACCAAAGCCACCUUACCCAUGUAUCUAAUACCCCAUCUUUUCCAUAUGAACGGUCAGCCUGGAUCUGAGACAUUGGCUUUGUCAGUGGAUUAUGCUAGUUAUGGCUGAAAGCAAAUUGAGGAUUUGAUUUCCCCUCGCGAAUAUCUUCUAAUGAUAUUGAAGCGUCUUCAAUAUGCUUGUCUUUUGAUGUGCCCUGUUUGGCUUUGGUUAUCGCCCCACUAUUAUUAACAGUACAAAGUUACUGGAUGUAUGUGAACCACCACCCCAAGUUCAGUGAUGAAACUUUCUUCAUCAGAACGCUUCUUUGCCGGUUAGCUGGCAGGCGACAUAUUCAGCCCACUGUCGUGAAUCAGAUUACACUUUUUGCUUCUUAAGCUUUUCUCCAACUAACAGUCCACCACUAUUCAGAGUGAAUACAUAUCCGGAGUUUAAACUUCGCUGAUGUCAAUGGAAUCUCUGCGAUGAUAGCGACUAGUUUGCACUCUGAUAUCCUUCCUACCAGGGCAACCUGAGACUAAGUACUUAAAGAAUAUUGACAUCAACUCAUUUGCCUUAUCUCUUCAUGUUUACCAAUAUAGAAAGGUGAUCAUGGACAGACUUCUUAUGGCUAGAGUUCCAAUAAACUCACUGCCACUCCCAUCAAUUCAUAAUUGGGGAUUAGAAAGGUAAUUUCUGGGAUCUAUCACGUUCCAAUCUGGAUUCCCCAAAUCAUUAAUAGUGGGAUGGACAAAUUUUUUCAAAGAAUCUAUCAUUCCCUAAAAAAAGAAUACAAUAAUUCAUCACCUAUUUCUUCAUGUGGAUCCCACAAUUUCAAGAAAGUUCUUGUUUGAGUAAAACCACAACGUUUUGAUCUCAGUGUCGAAAGUUUUUGUCAGCUCCAUGGAUAUAAUGGACCUGAAAGCUUGCAUAACCUUAUACCUUGUCCUUUCAGACUUGGACACGAAAAGUCGGGUUGAGCUUUCCUCCUAGGGUGCCGUUCAGAAAGGCCGUCUUCACGUCCAUUUGCCAUCUCAUAAUACGGUACGGUACCAGCUACCAAGAAAAUCCGAAUGGACUUAUCAUGGCUAAGGAGAGAAAGUCUUCAUAGUCCAAUCCUCUUUUGCCUGUACCCUGGCUACUAGUCUACCUAUAUAAGUCCACGUCUCCUCUUCACGCCCAUUGAAGUUUCCAAACAGGUACAAUACUUUAUGGAGGGUUCUACAAGAGUCUAGACCAUUUUGAUACAUGGAAUCCAUCUCGGAUUUCAUGGCCUUUGCCAUCUCUUUGAAUCAUGUCGGACAUUGUCUUCAGUGUAUCUCUAGGGUCCUCCUUUGUUUCAUGUCACCUAGAAGGUACAUUCAUCAAAGUCAUUGUAUAAGCCAUACCUCUUAGUGGCUUACUAACCCGUUCAGAUCUACGUGAAGCUAAGGUUCAGGAACAGAUUGUCAGGAACAGGAUUUUCAACUUGUCGAGUGCUGUGGUUUGUGGUUCAUCAUUAUCUCAUUAAUUUCUUUCAAUUCUAUCUUGCUAGUUCCUUUAAGAACGAAUUCAUCUUCCAUGAAUAUAGCAGUUCUGGCGACAAAGACUUUCUGGUCGUCAGGGUGAUAGAAUUCGUAUCCAUAAGUCUUUAGGAUACCCCACAAAAUAGCAUUUAACGGAUCUCGCUUUCAAGCUUUCCAGCAAUCUUGUUUCUUAACAUAUGCUGGACAACCCCAAAUCUUAAGAUGUUUAAGACUUGGCUUCUUCCCAUACCAUAUCUCAUAUGGUGUUUGUGGAACAGAUUUAGAGGGCACUGCAUUUAGCAAAUAAGCUGCUGUGUGUAGUGCAUAUCCCCAGAAUGAUAUUGGUAGAUCAGCGGAACUCAUCAUAGAACGAACCAUGUUCAUCAAAGGUUCGGUUUCUUCCUCUCAGAAACUCCGUUAUGUUGAGGAGUUUCCUGGUGGAGUCCACUGUGAUACAAUUCCACACUCUUUGAGAUAAUCUAGGAAUUCGUUACUCAGAUAUUCACCGCCUCGAUCCGAUCUUAGGGUCUUUAUCUGUUUCCCAGUUUGCUUCUCAACUUCAUUCUUCAAUUCUUUGAACCUUUCAAAGGAUUAUGACUUGUACUUCAUAAGAUACACAUAGCCAAACCGAGAGUGAUCGUCGGUGAAUGUGAUAUAGUAGGAGAAGCCUCCUCUCGACGUAGUAGACAUAGGUCCACAUACGUCAGUGUGGAUUAACCCUAGAAUUUCAGUGGCACGCUCUCCUUUUCCGGUAAAUGGAGAUUUGGUCAUUUUCCCUUUCAAGCAACAUUCACAAGUACCCAUCCGGUCAUUACCUAAUGGGCGGAUAUAUCCGUCUUUCGACAUCUUGCGAAUCUUAUCAAGGUUCACAUGUCCAAGUUUAAGAUGCCACAUCUUUUCUUGGUUAACUUCUUCUCUAGCCCUUUUGGGUUUUGAGGUAUUCCCGCUUUCAAUACAGUGCGUCCCACUAUUCGUCUCUAGGUGAAAAAGUCCCUCUAUCAUAUUACCAUGAGAGAUAAUACGACCGUUCAAGUAUAAAGUGCAACUCAUUUUGUCAAACAAUACUGAGUGCCCAUCUCGUAAAAGCUUAGAGAUAGAAAUCAAAUUCUUUAUACAUGAAGGAAAAUAUAAACAAUUUUUUAAGUUCCAGGACUUCCCCAGAGGGUAGGUUAAGCAUGUAGGUGCCUAUUGCUUUUGCAGAGAUUUUAGUGCCGUUUCCCAACUCGCACAACCAUCUCCCCAUUGCGCAGUGACCUGCUCCCUGCUAGUCCCUGCAACGUAUUGCAAAUAUGUUGACUAGCGCCUGAAUCAAAUAUCCAGGAAUUGGAGCUCACUGUAAAAGCACUCUCUAUGACAGAAAUAGUCUCUUCAAAAGUUUGUGUCAUAAGGCUCGCAAUGUGCACCCUGUAUUUCUUCUUCCAACGUUCAUCCUUUCCACAAUGAAAGCAUGUUCCUUUGGAUUUCUUUGUCUUCUUCUUAUGCAACCUUUUCCUUGUGUUUGCAUUCUCACUCCCACUGUCCCUUUUGAAACCUUUUUCAAAUUUACAGCACAUGUCAAUCAUCUCUUUCAAAGAAUGAUCGAAUCUAUUCACUUUAUAGUUUACAAUAAACUUAGUGAAAUCAUCCGAGAGAGAUGCAAGGAAAAAGUCUUGGGCCAUUUUCCCAUCGAUGGAAGUUCCUAAACUUUUUAAGAUCUUUAAAUAUCUUUUCCAUCUUUUGUCCAUGUUUAUGGACCGAUGCCCCCUUUGCCAUCUUGGCAUUCAUUAAGACUACAAACAUUUGAGAAUCGUACAUUACUAGUCUCAAUGUCAUGCAUCUUAUGCAAACUUUCAACCAUGGCACAAGAAGUGUUCAUGUGCUUAUGUAGCUUCAUAAGCUCCUCACUAAGUGAAGUGAGGAUUAAGCAUUUGGCUUGUAAGUCAUCCUCAUAGUGUCUAACAUAAUUUUGACACUCCUCAUUUGAAGCUAGUUUCGUAGGAGGUACAUGAGGAGGGGAUUGCUUAAGCACAUACAAUAUGUCUUUCACCUUUGAGACAUUCUCAAUAUGGCGAUACCAAGCAAGGAAACGUUGGCCCUUAAGGCCCCUUUUGUCAAGUAUAAUGGUGGGUAUAAUUUUAGGCAUGUCGUUCACUACAUAACAUAACAGAAAUCGUAUUAGAUUGUUUGUUUAAAACUAUUUGAUUGGGUCUUUGAAUCAAAUAGUACCACCCACUAUUUUUGGCAAAUUCCACAUCCCUCAAUAGAAUUCAAGAGUUAUAUUGAACUCUUAG